rnacentral:lncRNA from 1 species
GAACGAAAAAGUUUAAUUUACACAUGUUUCUUAGUUUCUAAAACUAAAACUAAAAAGUCAAAAAUGGUGGCCUUCUAACCUACCCUACUCUAAAGUCAUAAAUGUAAGUAAGAAAAGUAAGAAAAACAAUUAUUGAUUUACAUUAUUGUACCGUAAGAAAAUAAGUCAAAAUAUCUUCCGUUGUUGUAUCUGCUCCAUUAUUGUUCUUUAUCUGCUCCAUUAUUGCUCUUUAUCUGCUCCAUUAUUGCUCUUUAUCUUAUCUUUCCAGCUGGCAUUUUGUCUUCUUUAUUCUAGACGUACCUCUGGAAUAAUAUUAUCUUCUCCAUUGCACCUCGAACAUUGGUGGUCUGGAUAUUUAUGUCCAAUUAUCUUACAGUAUCUCGUUAAUAAUCCGUCUGAAAUAAUUCCCUUUUUUAUUGCUCGUGCGGUAGAUUGUUUUUCUGGGUUGAGUAGUGUCAAUAUCCACUGUCUUACAUCUUCCAUAUCUGCUUGUCUUAGUUCUUUCGAAUUUGAAUAUAUCAUUUGGUGGUCUCUUGAAUAGUAGCUCCAUAUUGGAUUUCCGUUAGCGUAGUUAUUUGCUAGUUCUUGUAUGAUCGUAGCUAGUCCAAUAAGUCUUUUAUUUGCGUAAAAAUCUGGUAUCUCUAUUCUAGGUAUCUCCGGUUGUCGCGAUAUAUCUUCCGGUAUAAUCAUGUCUCUUGUCAGUCCUAUCUUUACAACUUGUAUCACUGGUUUUAUCUCAUCAUAUAAUAUCUCUGCUGGUGCAGUAUAACAUUUUAUAUAAAAUAAAGUUCCUUUUGUUAUUCUUUUAUAGGUAGUAAAUAUCUUGUAUAAUUCCUCCAUAGCUGUUAACUCUUCUCCGUCUUGGGUGUAUAUGGUAUUUAGUAGUCCAUAGUCAAAACAAGUUUUAACUAGGCUUGGGUUAGUUUUGGGUAGUGCUAUCAGUUUGUUGUAUCCUUGUAAUUUUUGGGUUAUAUAAUUGGUAUUUGGUUCUUUGAUAUCUGUAGCUCUGGGGUUGUGGUUUAGAAAAGUUUGUACUCUGUAUAUAUUUUCUAUGUAUUUUUGGGCUGUGUAGUUGUAUAUUUUCUUGUCUUGGUUUAGGCUGUCUCGGUAUGUAUUAACUUGUGGGGGUAUGAAUAAAUGGUCUUUUUGUGUUUUAGGGGUAAAUGGUUUUUCGAAUAUUUUAUUCAUAUUUGCAUUUUGGUAUCUUGGCUUAUUAACUCCUUUGCUUGUACCUGCAGAAGUAGAUUGAUAAAUGUUAUGGGUUUUAUGGAGUGUCCCAACGUCUCCUUCUAUCUCUGCUAAUUUUGGAAUAUAUUCUCUUACUUGGUUUACUAAUCCUAAAAAUGAUUGUAAUUUCUUUUUUGUAUCUAAUUCUUCUUUCGAAUUUAUUAUUUUUUGUACUAUAUGUUGUUGCAUUUUUACUCCACUUUUAUCUAUUUGUAUUCCUAAAAAUUCUAUCUGGUUUUUCAUAAUUUCAGCUUUCUUUUUGCUUAGACUUAUUCCUGAUUUUUCUAUUAUAUCUGUGAACUGUUCUAAUAAUUUUAAAUGUUCUUCUUUAGUUUUUGUAUAUAAUAAUAUAUCAUCUAUGUAUACUAUACAAUUAGAUAAUUGUUUAAAAUAAUUAUCCAUAAAAUGUUGAUAUCUACCUGGUGCAUUUUUAUAUCCAAAGGGUAACACGUUCCAUUCAUAAAAUCCUUGUGGUACCGUAAAUGCGGUUAAUUCUUUAGAUUCUUCUUCUAGCUUUAGGUGGUAAAAUCCUGAUUUACAAUCAAAUUUGCUAAAAUAAUUAUAUCCUUGGAUUUGUCUUAUUUUUAAUAUCUUAUUUGGUAUCGGAUAAUUAUAUGUUAUAGUUUUUGCAUUUAAAUUUCUAUAAUCAAUAACCAUCCUACUUUUUCCUCUUUUUUGUUCACUAUGUUUAUUUACUAUAAAUGCUGGACUAUUAUGUUUACUAUUACUUUUUUGUAUAUAUUGUUUUUCUAAUAAUUCAUCUAUGUGCAUUUUAAAUUCUUUUAAAUCAUCAAAAUUAUAUGUUAAUGGUUUUUGUGUUAUUAUGCUAUUCUUAUCUAUUAAUUCAAUUUUUAUAGUAGUUUUGUGUUUUUCCCAUCCUUUUAAUGGAUCUUCACUAUAUAAUUGUUCUAAUUUUUUCUGAAUUAUUUCUAUUUUAUUUAUUGAAAAUAUAGUUAUUUCUGUUUUAUUUAUCGAAAAUACUACUAGUUCUACUGUAUCUUCAGUAUUUUUUAUAUUUUCUAACUUUUGUGUAAUUUUUUCACUUCCUUUUAUCCAAUCAGUUUUCUUUCUUAUUUUAUUAUUAACUCUUUUUGCUCUUACUUUUUGUUUGCAUGGUGUUGUAAACCACCAGUCUGUUUUGGUUAUUAUAUGUGGGUAUAAUUUAUCUAAAAAUGGCAUUCCUAAAAGUAUAUCUUUUGAUGUUAAUUCAUAAUUAUAAAUUUCUUCUAUUGUUAAUAUCUUAUCCCAUACUUGUAUUUUUACAUUCCUAGCUUUAUAAGUAAUUAAGCUUCCUUCAUUAUUAAAUCCUUUAACUAUUAUUGGUGUUUUUAGUUUAUCCCAUUUGCUUUCUGGUAAGCAAUUAUAUCUACAUAAAUUAGCUUCUGCUCCUGUAUCUAUCAUAGGCGUAUAAUAUCUACUGUAAUAUCCUUCUACUACUAUCUUCAUUAAUACAUGUAUCUUCAUUUCAUGUUAAGGCUCUUUUUAAGAAUAACUUUUCUUGGUUAUAUGUUAAGGUUAAUUGUGUAUGUUCUAUAUUAUAUGGUUUUACUUGUUCCAACCAUUUUAUUCCUAAUAUUAUAUCUGCUUUUUGCAUUUCUUCUUUUACUUCGAAUUCUAUUUUUAUUUUUCUAACUCCUAAUAUUAUUUCUUUUUCUGCUAGAUUUUUAUUAUUUAUUAAACUUCUUGGUAAGUCUGGGCAUAUAUUAUUGUCGGUUUUUAUUUCUUCAUUUUUUACUAGAUAUUUUGCUAUAUAAUUUUCUUCUUGUCCUGUAUUCAAAAGUAUUAAAUAUUCUUUUUCAUUUAUUUUUCCUGUUAUGUAAUAUUGGUUUAAAUUACUUAUUGAGUUUGUUUCAUAACUUGUUCUUUUUGAUGAGCUUGAUGAUUCUGGCUUUUCAUUAGCUAUUCUUUUCGUUGUACUUAUUCUAUCAUUUACUAUUUCUAAAUUUUCUUCUGUAUCUAUGUCUCUAUAGGUAUAAUCAUUAUAAUCUAUUGUUUUUACUAUUUGUUCGAAUGGGCUUUCUAUUUGUAUUUUGUUAAUCUUAUUUUUUCCUGUUAUUUUAUGUUUUGUUGUUAAUACAUAUAGAUUUUUACAUCUUGCUGUAAAUAUUUUACUUCCUGGGGUUAAUUCUAUUCCUGAUAUUUUCCAAUAUAAUACUAAUGAUUUAUCUAUAUUCCUAUCUGUUACUGCUACUGAAUAAUUUGCACUUAUUAUAAAUUUAAAUUUUUGGUAUAUUAGAUUUCCUUUUACGGCAGUUAUUAUGCUUUUUUCUAUAGGUUUUAUAAUUCUAUCGUCUGCUAAAUAUAAUUCUAUUGGUGUAUCUAUUCCUUCUCUAAAACAUGCUUUUAUUAAUAUCUCUGUACCUCCAAGGUGUACAUAUUUUAUUGGAUCUCCUUUACUUUUUAUAUCAUUUAUUUCUUUAUUAAUUAUUCUUUUUGUUACCAGUGGUAUACUAGCUUUUCCUUUUGCAUAUCUGCAAUCUAUUACAUGUUCUUUUUGGCAUACUACAUAAUAUUCAUCUUUUUUCCUAGUAAAAAUAUUUUUUAUUGUUGGUAUUUUAAAUAUUUUGUCUACACUUAAAUCUAAUUCUUUUCCUUUUAUUUCAUCAAAUAUAUUACUGUCAAAUAUUAUUUUUUGUUCCGUUCCUUCAUCAUUUAAAUAUUCUUCCUUUGUUAUUAUUUUUAUAUCUUCUUCAGUCAUUUGAUUCAUCUAUUUCGCUAUCUAUUUCAUUAUCUGUUUCGUUUUCUGAAAUUUCAUAUAUACUAUCUUCACUUUCUAAUUCAUAAUCUAUAUAAUCUAUCUGCAUGUAUUCGGUAUUUUCUAUUUUUAUUUCUGAUAUUUGUUUAUUUUUUGGAUUUUUAGGUAAUUUACAAUCUCUAGCUAAAUGUCCUAACUUUCCACAAUUAUAACAAGUACAUUCUUUUAUAGAUUUCUUUUUUCUAUAUGGUCUUUUAUGUUUAUAAUUUUUUACAUAGUAUCUUUUUCUUGGUUUUUUAUAUUUAUAUUUUGAUUUUUUAUAUUUCUUAUAUUUCUUAUGUCUUUUUCUUUUCUUAUAAUAUCUUUCUUCGCAUCCAAAUUGGGGUGCUAUUUUAUUUUUGCAACAAGCUAAAUUUCUUAUUAAUGUUUUUUCCAUUUUUAAUUCUUCUCUAUAUUUUUCACAUAAGUUUCUAUACCAUUGUUGUAAAUAUUUUAUUCUUGCUCCUAACGUAUCUACUAUUUUUGCUUCUUCCCAACUUUUUAUUAUUUUCGAACUAAAUGGCUCGGGUAAUUUAUUAAAAUAUAAUUUUCUUAUUUCUUUACUUUCUUCUAUACUAUAUGCUCCUUUGUAAUAAUAUUCUUUAAAUGCGCAAGUAUAUUCAUCUAUAUAACACAUAUUACAUAUUGCUAAUUUUAACAUUAAAUUUCUAUUUGUAUCUUUUUCUUCAUUUUGUUCUUCUUCGAUUGUUGUCGUACUACCAAAUUCAUCUUUUAUAGCUGUUUCAUAUUUUUUUAAUAAUUCUAUAGGUGUUAGUUUAGUUGUUGUCGAUGAUGUUCCUUCUAUAGGUUUAUUAGUUCUUAAUACUUUUUUGCUAUUUUCGGUUAGAUUUGCAAACCAUAGUUUUACUGAUCCUAUUAGUGUUUUUUCUAUAUAUUCCGGUGCAUCUGUUAUAUUUAUAUUAUUAUCUAAUAAUUGUUUUGUCAUAUAUCCUAUCCAUAAUUGUAUUGUUUUUUCUGUAUCUAUUACACAGUCUAGAUCUAAAAAGUUAUAAUUUUUAUUCACUAUUUGUUUUGGUAUCCAUUUAUCAUAUUCAUUAUAUUUUUUAAACUUAUUCUUAUAAUAUAUAGGUUUUCUUAUUUCUGUUGUUUUAGGUAUUAUAUUUUCAUUUUCUUUUUUAUCAAGAGUAUUUAUUUCUGUGUGGGUAUUUUCUAAGUUUUCCUCAUAAAUUUUUUGUUCUUCAUUGAUUUCUAAAUUUUUUGUAUUUGUUAAUAUUUCUGUGUAUGUUUCACUAUCUUCGGACUCAUAAUUAUCUGUCUCUUCAAUAUCUAUAUUAUUUAUUUCUAAUUCUUCAUUUUUUAUUUCUAAUUUUUCCUUAAAUUGAUUUAUCUCAUUUAGUAAUUUCUGUUCUCUAUCUUUUUCUUCUUUUUCUUUUUGUCUUUGUUCAUACAGUUCUUUUAACAUUUGUAAUUCUUUUUCUAAUUCAGCAAUUCUACUAUUUUUGGUUUCUUCUAUUUUUCGUAUUUCUUCCGUAGUUUGUUGUUUUAUUUUUUCUAUUUCUUUUUUCCUAUCUAUCUCUUCAUUUUCUUUUUCUAUUCUUACCAUUGCUGUUAAUUUAUCUUCUAAUUUUAAUUCUUCUUUUUCUAACAUUAGAUAUAAAUGUUCACCUAUUUUCUUAUAUCUUCGUCCUAGAUUAGAAAAUACUAUUUUUAUUUUUGAUCCUUCGUAGUUUUCAUAUAUUUUUUCAUCUAUUAUAAAUUCUUCUUUAUUCAUUUUAUUGUGAAUAGGUCAUGUUGAUAUACAUAUUCUAAACUAUCUAUUUGUGAUUCUAAUUUUGAUAUUUCAUCUUUUUGUGUAUCUAUUGAAUUUUUACUAACUCCGGCAAAUAUAUUAUAAUGUAGUCUUUCUAUUCUUAUUUUUAAUUCUUUACGUUUUUCAGAGAUAAUUUGUUUUAAUUCUUUAUAUCGUUGUAUUUUAUUCAUUUUAAAUUAUAUUUAUAAUAUCUCGGUGGAUAUCUAAAUCUAAUUUUAUCAUAAUUAGGUGGUAUAUGUUUCAUUCUUCUAGAUUUUAAAUGUGUUAUUAAUUUUGAUUCAAUACUAGAUAUUAAUGUAAUUAAGUAGGCUAGUUUUUGUGGAUUUUCUUUUGUUUUAUUUAGACUUAUAUAUUCUGAAUAAUUACUAAUUAAAGAUUCUUUAAUUUUUCUAAAAGCUUCUCUAUUUUUAAAUGGUCUUCGCAUAAUUAAUUAAUUAUAAGUAAAUUGUUUUAACUCUAAAUCUAAUUUUGACUCUAUCAUGUAUAUUCUAACUCUAAUAUAUAUAUCUCUUCUGUAUUAUUUAAAUUGCUGUGCUCUGAUACCAUUUAUAGGGGGUGUGCGGAUUUAAUAGGUAUAAUAGAUUCAGUAGGUUGGGCGGCUACAAGAUGUUAUUGAACUUUCUUUGUGUUGAUUAGCCGACAUUAUUGUUUGAUAUUAUAGUUUGGUAUCUACAAGUAAUUUCCUAAAUGAUAAUCAGACGAAUUCAGAAUACAGAGUCGACAAGUUUAGUAAUAAAUUGAGUUGAACUUCAACAUGUUGGAAAUUCUCUUACGAUCAGUAGCAGUUGAACUUCAACUUGUUGGAAAUUCUCUUACGAUCAGUAGCAGAGGUAGAAGCCUGAAUGAGUUCAUCUUAACCCAGUAGCAUUUGCUCUAAUAACGUAUCAAUGUUAAGAACUCAUUAACUAGUACACAUAUUAAAUUUAAAGCUCAAUUAUUGACACUUCAAGUUAUUAUUCUAAAAUCUAAAACUUAUAAAGUUGAUAUCCUGAUUUUGCCUCUAUUCUUGAUAAUCAUAAUAACUUGUCAAUAUGAUUUUUCGGCGGGAAAAUAACUAUAACUGAAGAUCUUAAAUACAUUAAUAAGCAGCAAAACUUAAGUUUGCUAACAAAAGAAAUAUGAAUCUUUAACAUGAGUAGCAACAGGCAAUUAAGAUCCUCUUUUUUAUUUGACUAAAGAAUGCUUCUCACGCAAAAUCUUGAAAAUUCGAGUUUCAAUUUGUUUGAGAAUUAGAUCUAGAGAUGCUCAACAUUCAACAUCCCAUUUUAUAAAAAGAAGAAAGAGUCGAGAUUUAAAUUUUAUGUAAUUAUAAUUUUAGUUCUUUUAAGUAAUUUGGUUUCUAAAUUAAUAAUUUGUUAAUAAAAUUUUAAAAUUGUUAUAAAAUUUAAACCUAAUUAUAUUACUAAAACCCUGAGUAUAGAGAUAUUCCUAUUAGGAAUGCCACCUCGGAAUGAGGCCUGUAGUAUGCAAAUCGAAUUAGUCGAGGUAGCAAUAUGAGUGAGUAGGAAACAAAAAAAGGAAGCGUAUAGUAAUUAGUUCAGUAAUUAGUUCUAGAGAUUUUCUGAAUUUGAAAGUGUGAGACAACUUGGUUCUAAGUGCAUCGGCUAGUGUGUAAUUACUGUAUUGUAGUAGUCACAAAACGUGUGCUAAGGUUUGAGAAACUUCCAAUACACUAGCUAGCAAGAGUAGGAAAAUGAAAGGGGAAGGAGGAGAAAAAAUGGAUUUAACCUAUAUAUAGCAACACUAAAAGAAAAUUUUAUAUUAUUAACGUGUUAUUCUUGAAUUUUUAACAAUUCAUUCAUUUUGAAAUUUAUACUAUAAAAAGUGCCAAUAUUAAAAAGGAGGCUUAUUAGAAGUUAGAACUACUCUUAUUUUAAGUCUACUAGUUUCUCGAUAUGUGCGUGGCACAUGCAUAUCAUGUCAGUAUAUGAAUUUGCAAAAUAAUACCAAUAUUAUUUUUAAAAUUGAGUAAAUAAUUAUAGAUAAAAGAAUAAAGAAUAAAUUUCUAUGUCUAAUCAAUGCUAAAUCAUUGUGAUGUAUGGAGACAAGUUUCCUUAGUAGAACAACAAAUAUCUUUCGCAGCAUAAUAAUUCGGUGCUUAUGUACUCUUAUUAAAUGACAAAUAUUCUAUAUAAUUGUAAUUUUUCAAUACUCUUGCCUAUUCUAUUUCUUUUUGGGUAUUUAAAACUGCAUGUCUUCCUUUGGUCGUUCAUUUCUUCUCAAAGUGUACAUUUCACCGCAUCUUUCAUAUUUUAUUGAUCUUCACCUUAAAGAUGUGUAAUAUUUAUAUCAAAUUUAAACACAAUAUCAUAUGGUGGUUUAAAAAAUUUAAAUUUUCUACACAAUCAUAUGAACAACUUCAUAACUAACAAAAAUUGUAGAUCAAAUUCAAUUGUAUUGCAGCAUAAGCAAUCAACACAAACUACUGUAAAUCAUGAUAAUUUAUAUGAAAUAUCAGUAUCUCAUUUUCAAAGUCGAACAAACAAAAUGCAUUUCUUCUUAAAUUUUUUUAAAAACUUGGAAACAUAUUAAAUUUAGUUUAUAUUAUUAUUUAAAAAGCAUAUGUGUUUUGACCAAUAAAUUUGGCAAUAGUAUGACUUUAAUAACUCAAAAUUAUUUACAAAUUCAACAAUCCUGAGCUUUUUGAAAAAGGUAGUCAAAUUCCCAGAGGCGACAACAAUUGUUGACUAAUUCUAUUUUUGUAAUUUUAAAAUAACAUUAUAAUUUUUUACAUUUAAAUAGAGCAGCCAGAUAAUAGAUGUCACAUAAAGUAAGUAAUGCUACUCUUGUCAUUCUUACUAUUUGGUCGCACCAAAAAGAUAAGCAUAAAUAAAUUUAAAGUAUUUUAUGGCCUUCUAGUACCCCUUCCCGGUUAUCUUAUUUCUUCUUUUUUGUACACUUACUACUGAUUUUAGAUAUUUCUCCAAAAUGUGGGGACAAAAAGAAAAUUAAAUUAAAGCGAACUUGAGAAAUUUGGUAUAUAUGUACAGCUAAUACAUCUAUAGAAUGAAGAUGAUUAAAGAUAAUCCUUUAAGCAUUUUGUAUGCAACUUGUAAGUCUUAUCCCAUUGCAAAUGGCGUACAUAGGAAAAUAAAAGUUUGUCAAUACCAUUUUGAAGAUAUGUUAGCUUUCUUAUUCCAUCACUUGGAUGAUAUUUCUAAAUUGAAGUUCACAUAUUCAAUAGUAUAUAUUGAAUAUUGUCCUUUAUAGCAAGAAUAUAAUCUUUAUAAAUUUUUAAAUUACAUGAAAAUAUAGUAAUAGUUGACAUAAAUAUAAGGUCAUUAACUAAAGACUCCUUGAUUGCUUAAUUUUCAUGUAGGCAAAUUCGAUUUUUGGUAUAAGUCUAAUUAUGGUAUGUAUUUUACUAUUGGUCCAAGUAUAACAAGGAAAAGGAAGAAGUUGGCUAUGUGUCCUUUGUACUCAAGGAAAGAAAUCCCUUGAGUCAUUUUCUUACCUUAAUAGGACAACUCUUGAGCAUCUAUAUGAAACAAAAUUCUGACAUAUCUAUUGCAUACAUAGAGAAGACAUCAUUCUCAACAAUAGGAGAUCAUUACUAAUUCAUUCAAGCUAUUCAUUGAAGGCAGUUUUUAGUUGUGCUGUGUAUAUAGUAAGUGUUUUGAGUUUUACUCUGAAGUCAUUUGAGAGUCUAGUUAUUUUGUUAUAGCUUGAGUUGUUGUGAUAAUUAUGGAGUUUGUGUUGGUGAGGUUUUGUAACAAGAAGCAGGUUUGGCUUCUUUGAGUAUUGAUAGUUGAAACAGUUAUGGUUAUCUCUUUGAGUCUAGAUCUUUAAAGUAGGAUCUUAAUUAUUGUGUUGUAUAGCAGCAUGUCCUUCGCUGAAGGCAUGGUAACUUUUAGAUACUUGACAAUACCUGUAGCUAAAAAUAUUGAGAAUGCCAAAAUCACUUAUAAUUUUGUUGAACGGUAACUUAUCUUUGUAGACCCUCCAAGCCAAAAGAGAGAUCUUAAAUGGAUUCAUUUGUGUCAUAGCUUGCUGAGAAUAUUAUUGAUAUGAUUUUUUGAGGAAAGAAAAACCAUUCUGUUUGAUUCAUGAUGGCAUAGUCAUCAAUAUUUUGGAGACCAAUAUUAGUGUUCAAUAUGUGUUGAAUAGUCUGCUUAUAUAGGACACUACUCAGCAUCCCGAUUCCAUUGACCCAUGUUAUGAACUCUUUCACUCUGUUAUGUGCCUAAUUCAACUUGAAUUAGGAGGAAAGAUAGAAAGAAGUCCUCUUUCUGUUCAGUUGUCCCACAAAAAACACUGGUCAUUCCUGAUGCCAUUUGAAGUUAAAUGUAAUGGAACCAUAAUACAACAAAAAACAAGGUCCUAGUGUUUAAUAUUUUCUCUCAGCAAAAUCUUUCCAAGUGAAAUUACUAUGUCAAUUUAGUCCUUACCUGAAAAAAAUAGAAAUAACAAACCAUAAAUGUGAUUCUACAAAUCCAACGUAUUGGUUGAAAGAAAAAUGUAGAACACCAAGGUACGGGACAAGAGUAACAUAAGCUGCAGAACUGGUCCAUGGCCUGACAAACUCAAUGGUCACUGUUUGAAUUGUUAGACUAAGUUCUAGUUAUGGUUACACAUUAAACUCCAUGGUUAAGCAUACUUUGACUAUUAUCUAGGUAUUAUCUAGGAGUAAAUGUAUGCAAAGAGUAAUCAUGAGUAGAGACCAUGAAAAUUAAAUAAUCAAAAUAUUGAUAGGGACACAGGUGAUUGGGAGUUCAGAUUAACUUGAAAUUUGAACUUGUUACAAUGAAAGAGGUUGCAUGGUAGUAAUUAUGUCAGCUUUGUUAAUGAAACUGAUUGAUGACUCUAGAACCUUCAAAAUAGUGGUUUAAGAAAAGUAGAAAAUAGUGUUCUGUACGGCAUUCUUCAAAAGAGAUAGAGUUGGUAAGGCAAGAGGAUGCAUUUAGGGUUUAUAAAAUGCUUAGAAAAUCUAAUAAUAAGUUAAAAGUAGAACAAUAAUUGUAAAGUGAGUUGGCGAUGUAAUGUUACUGAAGAUUAUGGAAAAUUAUGGAUGUUUAAUAUAAUAGGCUGAUCUAUCAUAGAAAAUUAGAGAAAAUGUAAGCAUACAAGCGUGCCAUUGAAAGAUAUAAUUCUACGAAACAAUUUCAACAUACAAAUCACUUUGUUUUUGUCCUGAGGUAAUGUUGAUGGCAACUCUAGAAAAAUUAAAGAUUGAUUCCAGACAGGUUUCUUGAGCAUUUUUGUAACGCCCAAAAUCUGUAUUCGAAAUGCUACACGGUGCUCAUCACCCCGAAAGACUACAAGCUAACCCAUGACUGAUAUCUGUAAUUGAGUACUGAAUAAUAUACUGUAAAUAUGUGGAAUAUAAGUUUUAAGGCCAUACGGUUCAAAGCUGAACUAAUACUGACUAUAGAACAAUGUUUGUAAUGGGGUAUAACAAUACCCAAAACUGAAAUAAAACUGUCUGAAAACAUAUUGUAGUCUGAAAACACUCUAGUCUGAAAGCCUCUAAAAUGUUUGAAAACUGUGGAGCUGAUGGGACAUGUCCCCAACUAACUCUGAACUGCUGAAAUAAUAGAGUAAUAAAAUUAUCAUGUUAUCCUCGACUGAUGAGGACUCAUUACUAGUCUGGCUGCUGAACAUCUGAUGUACUAAGGAUGCUCGAGAGCUCGUGCUUCUAAACCUAUCGUAUAAAACACUAGAGCGCAAAUGCGUCAAUACUUUGAAUAUACUGGUAUGUAAGUGAGGUAGGCUGAAUGCAAAGGGUUCGUUCAUAUGCAUGAACAAUACUAACUAGCUAAACAACAUGAACGUAAGAAUACAUGCAUGAAUACGUAACUGUAACUAAGAUCAUGAUAACGCUGAUUCAUGAAUUCUGAUAACAUGGAUUUACUGAUAUCUGAUUACUAAUACUGGGAUACUAAAUGACUUAGUCUACUAAAUACUGAGAGACUGAUGUUAUUUUACUAAUAGAGAAAAGAAUGUUUCUGACAGUUCUAAUUAUAAAGAACUGGUCUUCUUGACUUUAUGUGAUAGUCCUGAGUCUGAAUACUGAUAACAUGACAUACUGAUAAAUGAUAUAACUGAUAACAUGAGUGAUUGUAUCUGACAGUCCUAAAUCUAAUGGAACUAGCUAAGUUCCAUACUGUAUCUGAGUUAAUUAUAUCUGACAGUCUUGAAAUCUGAAGAACUAUCUGAGUUCUAUUACUGAGACUGAUUGAUAGUGUCUGACAGUCCUGAUUCUGUAACAAGAAAUAGUGGGAAGUAUUUAUCUAACCGUCAUGCCCCUGGUACGCCAUUAUGGCUGAGUUGGGGUCCAAUCUGUAACCCCAAUUAGAAAGGUGUCAAUACCGCACCACUGGUAAGGAAAAAUUAUGGGUGACACUCAUCUAAUAGUGUCCCCAAAAGAGAACAGUAGGGCUCUUAUCUGACAGUUCUUAUCCACCUCAUCAACCCUCAUCGGACAGUGUUGAUGUCUCAACCUAUGCUGGCUAUAUAGUUUUGGAACGCAAGGAUAACUUUUAAGAAUCACACCCUCAGUGUGUGUUUCCAUCCUUGGGUUGACUCGGUGCUUAUUCCUACUCCCAUCUGAAUAGGCUCUGAACAUAACAUGGGCUGAGUUAUUGAAUUUCGUUGACUAAUAGAAUACUACUGAGAUUUUUGUAUUACAGACUAAGAUUGUUGAGAUUUCUGAGAUUACUAAGAUUAGAGAGAUUACUGAUGUUACUGCGACCACUGAGGUUACUGAGAUUAAUGAGCUACUGAGAUUACUGAGAUUUCUGACAUUUCUAGAUGAGAUUGGACUGAUAAUUUAUUGAGUUUUCCUGAGUCAUGAGACUGACGAAAUUCUACUGAUCAUGGCUUGACUGAGAUUAUUGUGAAAAUAUGACAUGACUCUAGGCACACAGCUAAAUUGUCAAGUACAAGUACCUCCCAGGACUCGAUAAAAUAAAAUUGACAAGGCUUGACACUUUUGUUCAUAUGACUAAUAUCAAUAAUUCAUAAUUUCAUAGUUGUAAAUUUCAUGAAGCACAUAAUCAUCAUAAUGUUGUACAUGGAUAGUAAUGCGUAUAAACAUGGCAUAAUUUUAUGCUUCUAAUCUUAUGAACAUCUCAUCAAGCAAUCACAAUGCAUAGGUUUAGCAUGGGAAGUAUCUUAAUCAAAUAGGUAUAGCAUCACUUAAGAGACAUUACAUAAUCUUGACACAUGGAAACUAAGUACUUGAUCAUCACUCAUUCAUUAGGGAAUAUUAUCAAGAACCUUGCAUGCACACUUAGGGCAUAGGUGUAUUCAUCAAACUACAUAUGAUAAACCACUCAAUUCAUGAAUUUCAUCUUACAUACUAACGUAAUUUCAAGACAAACACAUAAAACCAUAACUUGGGAAUCAUACAACAACACUAUCAUGAUUUCAAUCAAACCUCAACAUAAACAUUAUAAUUCAUAGUUUAAAAGAGUAUUCUUGAGCAUCAUGGAUGAAAGGAAUCCAUGAAUUAAUACUAAGCAAACCUUAGUUCUUGAUUCUAUGAAGAUUGACGGAGAGAUUCUUGAAUUUGGGUCUUGGAUUUGAAUCCCCAAUUGAAAACCCUAGCUAGUUCUUGAUAUAAUAUUGAGAGAAACAAUAUAUUUUUGUUGAUAUAUGGCUUAAUCACGUGUUAUUGGGUAUAUAUAGGGGUGGAAAAUUGACCCUUUUAAUCCUUGGACGUGUAUUUAAAUUCUGCGAAAUAUCCUAAUUUGGACCCAUGGCACGAUGCGCUGUGUCACUGGAAUUUGAUGAAUGGGAAAUUGCAUGAUGGUGUGACGCAAGGUUUAUCAUGUUGCCACUUUAUUUUCGAGCUGGAAGUUUGGUGCGACGCGGUGGUAUCACGCUGAGACACUAGAAAAAAAAAUUCUAAUUUUGAGCUUUGCCGCGAUGCACCAUAAUCACGGAGGCCCACUAGAUUUUGACGAUUGCCAUUUUGGCCUGCUCCGCGAUGCGUUGAUGGCCAAAGUGAUACACUGUCUCACUACAAAGGCUCUAACUCUCCGCCCGAGUGUCGGAUUCAGGUGAAUUUGAUAUCGAUCGAAAGCUAUUCAAUUUCCCACAUGAUAAAAAGUGAAAAUAUUGAAAAUACCACUUGUAUAAAAGUGAAUUCAUCUUUGAAACAAGUCUUUAAAAUUUUUGGAAUGAUUUUAAGCUAGAUAGAAGUACGGGGUAUUACAAUUUUUUUCUCGCUCCCACCUAUUUUACAUAUGCCUUCGCCAUACAAAAUCUUGGAUGUUCUUGUCUCUUGCUCUGCAGCCUACGUGGGACUAAUCCUAAUUGAUAAUCUGAACUAUUUGUAGAAUAAACUCUCUUCUGUUUAGAUUCACGUCAAGUGGUUAGAACAUAAAUGAUAAAUUUAUUUUGUUGCAAAUACUUGUCAUUUGCAGAUUCGAAAGUAGAUCGAUGGGACAAAACGUAAAAUAGUGGCUUGACAUUGGUGGAGCAUCUACAACCUAGUACAAUAACGGAGUUGGUAAGAAUGAAAUUUACUUUAACAGAGAAUCAUGAAAGUUGUUGGAUCUACAACAAUUAAUAUAAUUACAAUGGAAACUCCUCAUCUACAAUUUUUGGACUACUUUAGGAGUAAUGUCCCUCACUCUUCUACAUUGGUUAGGUAAUUUACACCCCAUUUAUAUUGCAAGGCAUUCAUGGACCUCUCUUGGCAUUACUUAUCACCUAUAUUGCUCGGAAUCUUCAAAAAUAUCAUCAGUUGCAUGUUAGAUCCUUCAAAAAUAUUGCAUUUUUAGAGGAUCCGUACUCUUCAAAAGAAAAACACGAGUCACCAAAGUAUUAAAUGCAUUCAUUAAUAUAUGAAAGCUACAUCCUAAAAAGGUUCAUUUUAUUGUAAUAGAAAAUAGUGCCCUAUCAUCAAUUUUUGAAAGAAUAGGAGACAAAAACAAAAAGUUAAAGAGGAUCCUUUAUUAAUAAAAGUCACAAAUAGGACACAGAAAAAAAUAAAAUUUUUGAUGGUCGAUUUCACCAAUGAUUUGGGUGGAUUUUCUCGCUGUAUUAAAUUGAAAUAACAAGGAUGGUGGAUGAAUUCUCAAAUAAAAGUAAAUGGCUCAAAUAAACUAUUUGAAAUCAAUGACUACUGGUAAAAGGUUGAAAUAUUAGUGAUUGAGAUGAAACAGAACAUACCUGUUUGACAAAUAGUGAAAUUGGAAGAUUAUUGGGACAGCACUGUUGUGCUUUCAAUUUUUAAGAGAUUAAACUGUGCAACUAUUGAGGAACUUGUUCUCAAUUUGUCUGUUGGAAUUGUUCAUAGUUGCUAGAAAGUGAUACUAUUUGUUUCUAUCUUUUUGUAAAAUUUCAUCACAUAUAUAAGGUUGUUGAGGAUGUAGCUUAGGAGAUCCAAUAGAUAAGCCAAAAAAUCCACAAAUAAAUCUAGCGAUUAAGUGAAAGAAGGAAAAGUGUAGAACAAAAUUGAUUGAUAGAAAUGUAAGAUAUCAUACCUGUAAGGAAAUAGAGAAUAUGAAGUUUGAGAGGAAAAUUUCACGGGAUGACAAUUCUUGACAGAGCAAAUUGGUGGAAACUAUUCAAAAAGCAUCGCGGAAGCAGUGAAAAGUCUUUAAAAUACGAUAAAAUUCUUAAAUAUUUUAGAAUUUUGCAAAACCAAAUAAGGAAUAGAUGUAUUUUAGAUUUUAUGACUAUGGAAAAGAAACUUCUUGAGAAGCGUGGAAGGAGAAGGGAUAUGAUGUGCGAAGCCAGAUAAGGGACUCAUGUAAUUUAGAAUUCAUGAGUGUGAAAAUAAAUUGUAAAGGAGUGAUGAAAGGUGAAAAGAUAUGAAUUCUACUAUGGUAGUUUCAAAUAAAGGGGCUUAUGACUUGAGUUCUUAUAUUGAUGAUUUAAGCAUGUUUUGGCGGGGAUUUAUUGGUGCGUGUAGUUUGAAGGAAUAUUGAAACUAAUAGAAUUCUUAAAUAAAUUACAAUGGCAUAAGUUGAUUCGAAUUAGAUGACUAAUUCUAAAAGUCUGAGGGAUUACUGAUUGAGAAGUAACAGGGCUUACCUUGUUGGCCUGAGAAAGAAGAAUGAAGAGUGUUGAGGUAGAACCAUUGUCUUAAGAAAUUGAUGUUGAGUCGUCUAUUGGCAAAGUGUUUGUUAGUUUCAUUUGAAAAUUUUCAGCGCAUCUAUAGGGUUGGGUAAUUUAAUGCAAGGUCAAUCGAUUUGGGGGUAUUUUUUGGAAUUUAACUAAGUUUAAUUACAUUAGAUCAGUUGCGGGUAUACUAGUAAUUUCACUUUAAGUUUUUUGAGUUGGUGAUUUUAAGGUAGUAUUAUCAUAUAUUACCACUCCUUCCAUUUCUUAUUACUUGGUGCUUGUUGACUUGACACAUCCCUAAAGAAAGUUUUAGUUUCAUUUUACCAAAUUAACCUUAUUAAUGAUUUUUUGAAAUUCUAAAUUUGAUUACUACGACUUUGUGUAGUUAUUUCAAUUUCAAUUUACUUGUGAAAAUGAACAAGUAAGAUAAAAUAUUUAUUUUAUGUAUAUGGAUAAUUAAAAUGAAACUAAGGGAGCAUUGUUAAAAUGUAUAGUGUAGCAUUAGUUUUCUAAUGUAGUAAAAUAGUUUUCACUGCUUUACUGUUUUUAGCUAAUCUAGGUGAUUAGUUAGUGAGUGGUUACACAAGUUGUUAGGAGUAUUUAUUAUAAGGUUAUAGAAGAUCAUGUUUGACUUAUGUGAGUCUAUAAAUACCAAGCAUGACAGUCAUAUUAUGAAAUUUUCAGCUUAUCAAUGAAGCUAACUUCUUCUCUUCAACACAACAACCAAAAUACAGUUUUUCCUUCAUCUUAAUCGUAGUCAGUUUCUAUCCCUAUCGACUUGACUCAGAUGAUUUUAAAAAAGGUAUCAGAGCCAUCGAUCUAUGGAUGUUUAGAAGAGACAUUGACAUUUUAGAUCUCUACUGUGAAGAGAUUCCCAAUCUCUAGUAUUAGCAGAAUUUUUUAAGCAGUUCUUAUCUCUGUUCUCAGUUAUUUCCAGAAAUUUAGUGUGUUUAAUUGUUGGAAAAUUCAAUUUUGAUUCCAGUGUAAUUUGAUCUCUACCUCAACAGUUUAUUUAGUCACACAUGGUGCCCAAAAUCGAUCCAAGUGAUACUUUGUUUAUAGGAACAUCAGAUGUGUCGGGAGCUACCUUGAUUCCAAUUAAGGUUGUUGCAUCAGAUAAUUAUGGAGUAUGGAGCCAAUCGAUGAGGAUUGCAUUAAUGGGGAAAAAUAAAUAUAGUUUUUUGACAAGUUCUUGUAGUAGAAAUAUAUAUAGAGAAGAAUUGCAUGACCAAUUGGAAACUUGCAAUGCAAUAGUGUUGUCAUGGUUAAUGAGCUCUGUUAGAUAAGAAUUAUUAAGUGGUAUUGCAUAUGCAAUAAGUUCAUUUGAAGUUUGGGAAGAUCUAAGAGAGAGGUUUAACAAAGUAAAUCACGUGAGGCUUUAUCAGUUACAUAGGGAAAUUAAUUCACUAUCCCAGGGAACUGAUUCAGUAGCAACUUACUUCACAAAAUAAAAGAUCUUAUGGAGUGAAUAUGAUGCAGUAGUUCCUGCACCAUCAUGUUCUUUUCCAAGGUUUAAAUACUAUGCCGAUUACUGGUUUGAAUUGAGAUUAAUAUAGUUUUUAGGAGGCUUAAAUGAUUCCUAUGAUCUGGCUAGAAGACAAAUUUUGUUAAAUGGAGUUACACCUAUGCUUAAUCAGGCCGAAGCUAUGAUUGUAGAAGAUGAAAUUCAGCAUUUGGCUUGUUCAACUACCACAAAUGAAAAGACAGAUCCAAUUACAAUGCAUGUGAGUAGGACUCAAAAAGUAGUUAUGGAUACUAAAAUCACAAAGAGAAGAAAUAUGAGUAUUGCCACUUCACUGGGCAAACUAAAGAAACUUGCUACAAAUUAAUAGGCUAUCAUAAUGAUUGGAAGCAGAAAAAAAGGGGAGGUUACCAUGGUAAUUCAAGAGGAUAUGGAGGAAACAACAAUCAUAUUUAUGGAAGGUCUGGUGGAUAUGGAGGUCCAGGAUAUCAAUUUUUUGGUCAAGAUAGUAAUCAGUUCUCUGCCCAUAAUUUCACUGGACAUCAGUCAAUUGAUGAAGCAGAAUAGUCGACUCCAUUUAGCAGUCAAGGAAACAAAGACAUUCAUAGUGUUAUUUGUCUAAGGGGUAGAGCUUCUCAGAUGAAGAGUACAAGCAGAUUGUGGACCUGUUGAACAAAGAUAAGCACGAUUUCAAACAGGUUAACAUGUCAGGUAAACUACUUUCUUAGUAUGUUUUGUUAUUUCAGUUGAUUAGAUUAUAGAUUUUAGUGCCACACAUUAUGUUGUAGCUCAUAUAUAUGUUUUUUCUCAAUUUCAUAAGAUACAUAGCACUAAUCAGGAUAAAGUAAAUCUUCCUACUGGGGCUAAGGUAAACAUUUCAUAUGUUGGAGAUAAACAAGUCCUUAAAGGUGAAGUUGGGGGGAUGUAUUAUUUGUGUCUAACUUUAAGCUAAACUUGCCGUCAAUAACCAAAAUAACCAAACAACUCUCAUGCUUUAUAUCAUUCUACCCUGAUUUAUGCAUAUUUCAGGACCUUUACAGUGGGAAGGUGAAGAGGAUUGGUAAGGAAAGAGGAUUUCUAUAUAUCCUUAAAUAUGUCGGUGGAGUAGAUGAGAUGCACAAAGAUGGUCAAAAGUUUGUAGCAAAAUUGAAUAUACAAGAUUGUAAUAUGUGGCACAGGAGGCUUGGGUAUCCUUCAAUUCAAGCUCUGAAGUCACUAUACUUGUUGAGACAUAUAGAAGAUAUAAAGUCUUUAAAUAAGGGUCAUGUUUGUCCAUUAGCUAAACAAACUAGACCCAUGUUUCCUAUUAGUAGUUCUAGAUCUGAAAGAUCUUUUGAUGUUGUGCAUAUGGUUGUUCGGGGGUCUUAUUGUGAUACCCCAUACUUUUCCCAGAUUAUUUUAUCUCAUAGUACGUUAAUAGACAACUUCAAAAGUGUAUAAAUCUUGAUACGAGUGGAAUUUUUUAGUUCUAGACCCACCAAAUGGUAGAUAAUUAAAUCAACCUUCAAACGAUACCAAUUUUGCCUCAAUAUGAUACUCGGUUAAGAGGUUAUGGAGAUUUUAGUGAAAGUAGUAGAAUAAUGCAAUAAGCACCGCAUUGCGGUGAAGAACAAAUUCGCAAUUGUCCGAUUUCCAGUGGAGCACAGAGAUUAUCUCGCAUCCCAGAGAAUUUCCAGUUCCCGUUCCUCCUUUUCCAGUAGCUUACCGCGAUUAACAUACAUUGCAUCAAAAUUUCAAAUAGGACAGAUACCACAUUGCGAUGGAGUGCAAAAUGGCACUCAUUCUUUUCAAGUGAUGCAACGCGAUUACGUCUUGUCGCGCUAGAGGCCAAAAUAGCAAUUGUCCCUUUUCCAGUGAGCCAUUGUGAUAGCGGAGCGCGUGGUGGUGUCAAAUUAGGAUUUUUCUAGUUCCAAGUAAUUGUUACAAAGGGCAAUCUAGUCAUUUUCCCAAGCCCCAAAUCAUAAGAAACGAGGAAUUUAACCUAUUCUAAGCAUUAUAUACAUACUUUCCAGAUAAUUACUCACCAAGAAACCGUAGAACAUCAACUCCUAAUCCCCAAGAAAUCAAAAUUCCACCAUUCUUUUUCCAAGAUAACCCAAAAUUCAAUAUUUCCAAUUCAAGAUAUUCAAGAAAUCAUCUUCAAAAGCACAAGUAGGAAUUUAAGUUCAAGCUUCUUUAUCAAUUUCAUAAAUUAAGGUAUUUAGGAUUUUUAACAAGGAUAAUCCUUUCAUCCUUGUGCCCUAAAUUAGUUUUAAAGUUGAUUUUCACAAGGACUUACAUGAAUUACAGUUUAGGGUUUAUACCCAUCUAUCACUAUUUGAAGAUUAUGAGAUUACAAGUUAUUUAGAUGUUGAAUUGCAUAUCUACUUUCGUAUAUUUAAGCGUGUGACUAUAUUUUCCAAAUUUUGAGUUGAAUUAUUAAUAUUUCCAUUAUCAAGCAUGAGCUUUAUUAUGAUUUGACAUGAAUUUGAUGCAUGAGUUAUUAAGCCCUAGUUUAAAUGUUGAUAUUUCAAGAAUGACUAUGUUUUAAGCAUCCCAUGAAUAGUUAUUUUGAGAGUUUUAUAAAGAUUUGACAUUUGAUCCUCAGUUAUGAUAUGGAAUCCACUUUAUAGUUUUAUUAAAGUUUAUAGAAAUCAGAUUUAGCUUUGCCUAUAGUUUGAAUCAAAUAGAUGCAUAAUUAGUUUUCAUUAUAAACUCUUAUGCUAGUUUUAAAAGUGGAUUUCCACAGGAUGAGCACACAGAUUAAAGAGAGUAGUAUUUAACACUGAGUUGGAUAUGUUCUCAUGCCUUAGAACUACGAGCUAAUGUAAGUUCAGACUAUCUGAUUAUUCUCAAUUCUAUAUGGAUAACAGUUACAGAUGUGAUCACUUAGAUUAGGUUAUACUAGUUGGCAAGAGUAUGACACAUCUCCCCAACGUGAGGUUUUCCUAUAAGGAAACUAGAUGUUGGACACUGUGAUAGCUCAUAUAGUGUAUAUCGGUUAGAAGAACCUCCCUACAGCCUAAUAAUAAAGACUUAUAGAACAACUUUUAGAAACUAAGUAUAAAGGCUCACGAUUUUAUUCAAAUAUUGUUUUACAUAUGACAUUAGCUAUGAGAUUUCAGAUUUUAGUUUACAGACACAGAAGUAAGUCCGUUCUAUACUUAGACAGCAUGAUUUAAAAAUAGAAUACCAGUAUAACUUUUAGAAACUAUAUGUUAUGACUCAUUAGAUUUAUGCAAUAUGUUUUUCUAUUUCUGAUUAUGAUUUUCAGUUUUUAGAUAUUCCAACUUAUGUGAGUCAUCUACAUUUAGUAUGCAUUAUUUUACAAACUAUGAUGAUGUUGAGACAUUGUUUUACUUGUGCAUUCACCCCCAUAUACUCAGUACAAUCCAGAAGUACUUAUCCUCAUAUAUGUCUAUGUGCUACAUUGUCUCAUAAUGUAGGUUCAGGUGCUUAAUUUCAGCAGAAUGAGUGAUUUCGAGCAUUUCUAUCUGCAUCCCAAUAGUCGGUGAGUCCUCAUAGUUAAGGGACCUAGUUAUCUAGUUUUUUCAGCUUAUCAGUAUUGAUGAUUCAGUAUUUUCAGAUAGUUUGACUCAGCUGGGCCUUUGUCCCAUUGACUCUCUAGUUAUUACUAGUAGAGGCUUGUUUGACUACUAGAUAUGAUACAGAUUUCUAGUAUUACUUUUCCAGACUUUGAGUCUAACCUUUUCAGCUAUUAUGAUUAGAAAAUUUCAGCUUAUAUCAUACAGAAUCCUGCAUUGAUUGUAUGAUUAUAUUUCUCUAUUACGAGUAUUCAGAUUUAGUAGAAAGCUAACAGAGUUAGCUUGAGGCUACUCACAAACUUGAGCACCGUGUGACGCCUCAUGACCCAUUUUGGGGUGUUACAAACUUGGUAUCAGAGCCUAAGGUUAUAAGAGUCCUAGGGAAUCAAAAAAACCAUGUUACGUAGAGUUUUGAUCAUGGGUGUGAAGUGCGCCACAUUUAUAGGCAAGAGGCUACGCGACAUUUUUAGGAAAUCAUCAUUUUCUUUCAUGAUCUAUUAUGCUUAAAGUAUCUCUAUCUCCUUUUAACUUAUGCUCUUAUGAGACAGUUGAAUAUUCCUUAUUAUCAAGAUAAUACAAGCAGAAAUGAUAACCAACCACUCCAGCUCGCUGACCCUCUAAAUGAGAAUGUAUCUCAUGCUGAAUUUUGGGCUGUCUUUCUGGUGUUAGCCCAAGCUGUGUUCGUUAAUGUUUAGGGCAAUCAUCAGGUAGCAGUCCUACCUCAGUACAAUAUGGAUUUAGUAGUAUCUAGAAUCUGUUACUUUAUGAGAAUGAAUCCGCCUGAGUUCUUUAGGUCAAAAGUAGGUGAGGAACCAUAUCUUUAUUUAGAUGAGAUAAGAAAGAUCACCUAGAUUAUGUAUGUUACUGAGGAAGAAAAUGUGGAGUUGGCAUCCUAUAAACUGAAAGAUGUGCCAUAUGAUUGGAUGGUUAUGUAAAAGAAUGGUAGGGGUAAGAAUGCAGCUCCUAUGAGUUGGCAGGUAUUUCAGGAUGCGUUUCUAGAUAGGUUCUUUCCAAGUGAAAUGAGAGAAGCUAAGGUAGAUAAUUUUGUGAACCUGAGGUAAGGCUUGAUGAUAGUGAAGGAGUACUGUAUAAAGUUCAACCAGCUAUCUAAGUAUGCCCCAUUAUACGAUGGCUGACCCAGAGAGAGUAUGAGUAAGUUUGUUAUUGGAGUAUCUGGUUUAGUAGUCAAAGAGUGUAAGACUGCCAUGCUUAUUAGGGAUAUAGAUCUUGCUAGGUUGAUGAUUCAUACCCAUCAUAUUGAGAUAGAAAAGUUUAAGAGAAAAGGGAGGGAAAAUAAGAAAGCUAGAAUUGGGCAGUUUGAGUAUGGCUAAACAAAGUUUGGAGGGGGAAACCAUUCGUAGUUUUAGAAUCAUUCAUCUAUGCCAGUGCCAUCUUCAGCUAGUGCUUCCUCCCCUAGAGCUAGACAGGAGCAGUAGGGUAAGACUUCUAUGUCUAGAUCUCAGGAUAGUGUGAAUGGAAAACCCAGUUAUCCUCUAUGUGCUAAGUGUGGUAAGAAUCAUCUUGGUGAGUGUCUAUUUUGGCAGAAAGGUUGUUAUGGUUUUGGUAAGUUGGGACAUAGAGUAAAAGAGUGUCCGCAUGCUAAGCAGGGAAAUAGAGAUGCUCAUCCUGAUACUUAGGCUACUAGCACACCAGCUCCUUUAGGUUGCCCAGUCCCACCUCAGAGUACAUCAUCUAAUACCGGUGGCGGUCAGCGCCAGAAUUAGUUUUAUGCUUUACCAUCCCGUUAGGAGUAGGAGGAUUCACUAGAUAUUGUUACGGGUAUGCUUCGUGACUUUUAUCUUGAUGUUUAUGUGUUGCUAGACCCUGGGUCAAGUUUCUCUUAUGUGACCCCAUUAGUUAUAGUGAAUUUUGAAAUAGGUCCUGAAAAUUUUCCUAAGCACUUCUUGGUUUCUACCUCAGUGGGUGAGUCAGUUGUUUCUAAACAGAUCUAUAGAAAGUGUCCUAUCAUUGUCCUUUAUAAAAUAAUGUUAGCAGAUUUAAUAGAGUUAGAUAUGGUUGACUUUGACCUUAUUCUUGGUAUGGAUUGGCUCUAUUCCUAUUAUGCAUCCAUAGAUUGUCGCACUCGAGUGGUGAAGUUUCAAUUUUUAGAUGAGCCAGUCUUUGAGUAGGAAGGUAAUUCAGUGUCUCCCAAAGGGCAUUUCAUAUCCUAUAUUUACAAAAAAAUUGAUCUCAAAAAGGUGUAUCUAUCAUUUAGUUCGAGUCAAAGACACUAAUUCUAAGAAUCCAACAGUUCAGUCAAUUCAUGUAUUCAAUAAGUUUCCUAAAGAUUUUCCCGAUGAUUAGCCAGGGGUACCUCCCGAUAGGGAAAUAGAAUUUGGUAUUUACCUUCUUCCAGAAAAUCAGCCCAUCUCCAUUUCUCCAUAUCAUAUAGCUCCAGCCGAUCUUAAAUAGUUAAAAGAGCAGCUUAAGGACCUCUUACAUAAAGGUUUUAUAAGGCCCAGUGUCUCUUCAUGGGGCUCUCCCGUCUUAUUCAUGUGAAAGAAAGAUGGUUAUUUUCAAAUGUGCAUUGACUAUAAUCAGCUGAAUAAAUUCAUAGUCAAAAACAAGUAUCCUCUUCCUAGGAUUAAUGACUUAUUCGACCAACUCCAAGGUGUCAGUUACUUCUCCAAGAUAGACCUAUCUUCUGCAAUGAAUUAUAAAUUUUUUCAUGUGGAAUGUCUUAUAUUAUAACCCACCAUUGCAUAGAGUAUCGAAUAAUCUUUCCAACUAUAUGUGGAUCAUCCAAAACGGACAUCCGAGCGAUGAGUUAUGAACAUUCUGAUCGAACCGUGAAUAGUAGUGAACAGUAAAAUGUGCAGGAAAAAGUACUGAUGCCUGGCGUAUUUUUGCUCCAACUUUAAAUGAUCAUAACUGCAUGUACAUAAUGAUCUGGGUGAUCUACUAUAAAUCAAUGGAAAGAUCUAUGAGUCCUCUUUCCAAUGAAAUUGGUUUCAUCUAAUUUUUCUAUCGGAGAAAAAAGUUAUGGUCGAUCUACUUCAUCCUAUCAAAAGAGAAUUUUUGGGUCAACUUCAAAUGAUCAUAACUCCUCAUACACAAUGAUAUGGGUGAGAUACUAUAUAUAAACGGAAAAAAUAUGAGAGUCCUCUUUGUAAUAAAAUUGGUUUCAUCCAAUUUGGAUAUCGGAGUAAAAUGUUAUUGUUGAUCUACUUCAAACAAUCAAAACAGUCCACCAAAGGAUAGAUUCGAGAAUUAUUUGAUUUUUAGGGGCGUUUUGGUCACUCCCCCUCCCCCAAAAUCCAUUCAAACCCUAUAUUAAAGCCUAUAAGAAGCAUUAUAUGUUAUAUUUCAUCAAAUUCCCUCAAAAAGAAAACCCUAAGCUCCUACAUCCAAUUUCAAGAACCUCCAAAGUUCACCAUUAAUUCUGCAAAUUUAUUUAAGAUUCCAAGUUCCUAGUUCAAGAACUCCAAGAAUCAUCAUUCAAAGACACGAUUAAUAUCUCAAAAACGAGUAUCGAUCUAAAGUUCAUCAUUCAAGGUAUGUGGGAUUUUUCAACAAGAACUCUCUUUCGUUCUUGUGCCCAAAAGUAAUUUUCUUUACAAAGGCAUGAUUUUUAUUUGACUUUUACGAAUUUGAAACAUGAACCCAUAUCUUAUGAUGAUGAUUAUAAAAUCUUGAUGUUUAUGAUUUUGAAAGAUGAAUUUACAUGUGCAUAGAUAUAAAGCAUGAAUCUUGAAUGAUAUUUAUAAUGAUUUGGAUAUUUGGGUCGUGAAUCCCCAUUGGAAAUUGUGUUUUUUUGAGAAAGUGUGUGUUAUAAGCACGCUGAUGUUGAAUAUUUGAGAUAUUUUGAAUGAUUUGACCUUUUGGUCUUAAUGGAGUUGUUUUGAACUCGAGUGUGAAAGAAAUCCACAACAUGGUUGAUUUUGAUAGAUGGGAAGCAUGAUGGCUCCCGAUGUAUAUUUAUAUAUUACUAAAAUUAUUUUGUUGUGGAUUGUCUUUGAAAUGAUCUGAGCUAAGUCCGGGAGAAAUCUUUAGCACUAAGUGGGAGGUAUAAACCCAUCUUACUUCCCUAGAACUAUGUGCCCCCAUAAGAGUGAGCCUAAGGCUGAUUUAUAUAGUGAUCACUAGUUUGUGUUGAUUUGAUAUCGAUAGUCCUACUCCAAUGGCAAGGAAAGGACGGCUCCCCCUAAUGUGGGUUGUACAUUGGACUCUAUGUAGCUCACAUGGUUUAUGUCGGUUAUAGGAUCUCCCAGCGUUUGUGUGUUUCCUUGUGUCUAUGGUGAAUGGUAAGUGAUUUGAAAUUGGAAUUAUGAAAGUUAUUCGUUCGAAAGAUUUAAAUGAUAUUUAAAUUAUGAGAAUUGAUAUUCUUGAUGAACUGAAAGUGAUUGACAAAUUAUAUGAUGACUCACAUGUGGUAUUGUACUUAUUUUAGCCUCUCAUGAUUAUGAUGAUUUUCUUCAGGCUAUGUGAUUCUUUCAUACAUCCUGCAUAUUUCUUAUAAAUAUUUAUGAAGACGAUGUUUAUACAACUGUAUACACCCCCAUAUAUUCGGUUCCUUUCCCUGGUACUGACCCAUAUCUUAAGAUGAGGGCUGCAUUUUCUUGGAAUGUAGGUUUAGGUGCUCAGUUCUAGGUUCGACAGUAAUUCUUCGGGCACGCUGUUCUAUAUUCUCUAUUGUGGUGAGUCCUCAUAUUUCGAGGAUGUAAUGUCUGAUGUUGGUUUCACAGAAUUAUUUACAUUUGAUAACUGAGUAUAAGUCUGUUGGGCAUGUCUCAAUAGCUCGCUGGUUUUAUUGAUUUUCUUAGAGGCUUGUCAGACUAGUAUAGAUGUUGGGAGUUGACUAAUAAGUCGUAUUUUGUUAUCUUUCUAAAAUUCUUUUAUUCUUGGAUGUUGAUUACUCUGUUGAUAUUUUAGGGUUAUUUGUGGAAACCCCGUUGAUUCGUGUUGAACUGAAUGAAAAUGACUCAAAGGGUUAGCUUGGGGCUACUCAUAGCCUCAAGUACUGUGUGACGCUCCGGGACCUAUUUUUGGGGCGUUACUAACUUGGUAUUAGAGCCUAAGGUUUUAAGGUGUCCUAGGGAGUCUGACAAGCCACGUUAAGUAGAGUCUUGAUCAUCGGUGUGUAGCGCGCCAUAUCUAUAAGCAAGAGGCUAUGAGACAUUUGAGGAAAAAGUGUGAUUUUUUCUUUCAGAAGUGUAUCAUGCUUAAAGUGUCUCUCUCUGUUAUUGAUUCAUGCUCUCUUCUUUCAAAAAUAUGUCUCUACAUCGAGCGAGAAGAAAUAGUCCUGUUACCAUUCUUCUAGAGUCUUAUUGGCUGAUCUGAUUGAGUUAGACAUGGUAGAUUUUGAUGUGAUUCUGGGUAUGGAUUGGUUGUAUUCGUCUUAUGCCUCUAUUGAUUGUCGUACCCGAGUGGUCAAGUUUUAAUUUCCAGGUGCAUCUGUGUUUGAGUUUUCUGGGAAUUUUGUGUCACCCAAGAAUCAUUUUAUCUCUUACCUUAAAGCUAGAAAGCUUAUUUCCAAAGGGUGUAUUUACCAUUUGGUUAGAGUCAAAGACACUAAUUCUGAGACUCCAACUCUCCAUUCUGUUAAUGUCGUUAAUGAGUUUUCUGAUGUUUUCUCAGAUGAUCUCCCAGGGAUACCUCCUGAUAGAGAGAUAGAAUUUGGGAGUGAUCUUCUUCUCGAUACUCAGCCUAUUUCUAUUCCUUCUUACUAUAUGGCCCCUGCAGAACUUAAAGAGUUGAAAGAGAAACUCAAAGAUCUACUAGAUAAGGGUUUUAUAAGGCCCAGUGAUUCUCCUUGGGGUGAUCCUGUGUUGUUUGUGAGAAAGAAAGAUGGCUCUUUGAAUAUGUGCAUUGAUUACCCCCAACUGAAUAAAGUCACCGUAAAAAAUAAGUACCCCCUUACGAGAAUAGAUGAUUUGUUUGACCAAUUGCAAGGUGCAAGUUAUUUCUCAAAGAUAGACCUUAGUUCCGGCUAUCAUCAACUCAAAGUUAGGGUGUGUGGCAUCCCAAAAACCGCUUUUCGAACUCGUUAUGGCCAGUUUGAGUUUCUUGUUAUGUAUUUCAGGUUAACUAAUGCCCCAGCAGCUUUCAUGGACCUCAUGAAUCGAGUGUUUAGACCAUAUCUGGAUAUGUUUGUCAUAGUGUUCAUCGAUGAUAUACUGGUGUACUCCCAUAGUGAGGAUGAAUAUUCUGAUCAUCUUCGAACUGUCUUGCAAAGCCUUAGAGAUCACAAGUUUUUUGCCAAGUUGAGUAAGUGUGAGUUUUGGCUAAGGUCAUUUGCUUUUCUGGGUCAUAUCAUUUCUUUUGAGGGUAUUAGAGCUGAUCCAGAAAAGACCGAAGCUGUUAGAAAUUGGCCUAGACCUAUUUCUCCGACUGAUAUCUGAAGUUUCUUGGGUUUAGCUGGCUAUUACCACUAUUUUGUUGAGGGUUUCUCCUCUAUAGCGUCUCUUAUGACUAAAAAAAAUUCGAGAGUUGGGUUGGGUUGUGUAUUGAUACAGAAGGGUAAGGUGAUAGCUUAUGCUUCUAGAUAGUUGAAACCCCAGAAGAAAAAUUACCCCACACAUGACCUUGAGUUGGCUGCUGUUGUGUUUGCUUUGAAAAUAUAGAGACACUAUUUGUAUGGUGUCCAUGUUGAUGUUUUCACUGAUCAUAAGAGUGCAGUAUGUGUUUACCCAGAUAGAGUUGAAUCUUAGGCAGAGACGAUGGUUAGAAUUAUUAAAGGACUAUGAUAUGAGUGUGUUGUACCAUCCGGGCCAGGACAAUGUUGUGGCGGAUUCCUUAAGUAGAGUGUCCAUGGGUACUGUUCCGCAUGUGGUAGAAGGUAAGAAAGAUUUGGCUAGUGAUGUACAUCGUUUGGCUAGAUUGGGGGUUAGGUUGUUUGACUCUACUAUAGGUAGUAUAGGGGUUCAGAGUAGUUCCAAAUCCUCCUUGGUUUCGAAAGUGAAGGAAAAGUAAUACUUAAAUGCUAGUUUGGUAAGAUUGAAGAAGUCAGUCAAGGACAAAAAAGUAGAGGGUUUCUCCCAAGGGGCAGAUGGUGUGUUAAGAUUGCAGGGUAGAUUGUGUGUCCCGAAUGUUAAUGAUUUGAGACAGAGUAUUAUGGCUGAAGCGCACGGAGUGCGAUAUUCUUUUCAUCCUGGUGCCACCAAGAUGUACCGAGACUUGUGGGAAAUCUAUUGGUGAAGUGGCAUAAAGAAAGAUAUUGCAGCGUUUGUAGCUAAGUGUGCAACAUGCCAACAGGUUAUGGUUGAACACCAAAGACCUAGUGGUAUGAUGCAAAAGUUUAGUAUUCCCACCUAGAAGUAGGAAGAGAUAAAUAUGGACUUCGUGAUUGGUUUACCUCCUUCCCGACGCCAUCAUGAUUCCAUUUGGGUUGUGGUUGAUAGGUUGACUAAGUCUGCUCAUUUCUUUCCUGUUCAUACUUCAUAUACUGCUGAGGAUUACGCUAGAUUGUAUAUCCUAGAGCUAGUCACAUUGUAUGUAGUUCCCUUGUCUAUCAUUUCGGAUAGGGAUACUUAUUUCACUUCGUAAUUUUGGAAAGCUUUUUAGAAGAGUCUUGGUACCCAAGUGCUUUUGACUUUUGCUUUUCAUCCUCAGGCUGAUGGUCAGGCUAAGCGGACCAUCCAGACCUUAGAGGAUAUGUUGAGAGCUUGUACACUUGACUUUUAAGGGAAGUUGGGAUGAUCACUUUACGUUGAUAGAGUUUGCUUACAAUAACAGUUUCCACUCUAGUAUUGGCAUGGCUCCAUUUGAAACCUUAUAUGGGAGGAAGUGUAGAUCACCCAUAGGUUGGUUCUAGGUGGGUGAAGCGGCUGUGAGUGGUCCUUAUUCGGUAUUUGAGGCUAUGAAAAAAGUUAAGUUGAUUAGGGAAAGGUUGAAAACUGUGCAGAGUCGUCAGAAGUCAUAUGCGGAUGUUAGAAGGACAGACCUUGAGUUUGAAGUUGGUGACCUAGUGUAUCUAAAAAUUUCACCCAUGAUGGGGGUGAAGAGAUUCAGAAAGAAGGAGAAGCUUAGUCCCCAUUAUGUUGGUCCUUACAAAAUUCUUAGCCGUGUUGGUAAGGUAUCUUAUGAGGUCGAAUUACCUUCUAGUUGUCCUCUGUUCAUCCAAUUUCCAUGUCUCCAUACUUAGAAAGCAUAUUAGCGAUGCUGUGGUACUGGAUUCCUCUGUGAGUGCUGACAUUCAAGAAAAUCUUUCUUUUGAUGAGAUUCCUGUUGAGAUUCUUGAUUUCAGUGUCCGAAGACUAAGGAACAAAGAANNNNNNNNNNNNNNNNNNNNNNNNNNNNNNNNNNNNNNNNNNNNNNNNNNNNNNNNNNNNNNNNNNNNNNNNNNNNNNNNNNNNNNNNNNNNNNNNNNNNNNNNNNNNNNNNNNNNNNNNNNNNNNNNNNNNNNNNNNNNNNNNNNNNNNNNNNNNNNNNNNGCAGCAGUUCAGCUGUCAUUUAUUAUAUGUUCAGCUGUAGUUUCUUGAAUUUGUGCAUUCUAUGUUGCAUUCUAUCUUCUAGAAUGAAUUAUAAUUCUUUCCAUGUGGAAUGUCUUAGAUUAUGACACAACAUUGCGUAUAGUAUCAAAUAAGCUUUCCAACGAUAUGUGGAUCAUCCAAAACGGACACACGAGCGACGAGUUAUGAACAUUCUGAUCGAACCGUGAAUAGUAGUGAACAGUAAAACGUGCAGGAAAAAGUACCGAAGCCUGGCGUAUUUUUGCUCCAACUUUAAAUGAUCAUAACUCCUUGUCCAUAAUUAUCUGGGUGAUCUACUAUAUAUCAACGGAAAGCUCUGCGAGUCCUCUUUUUAAUGAAAUUGGUUUCAUCCAAUUUGUCUAUUAGAGCAAAACGUUAUGGUCAAUUUACUUCACCCUAUCAAAAGCGAAUUUUUGGGUCAACUUGAAACGAUCAUAACUACUUGUACACAAUGAUUUGGUGAGAUACUAUAGAUCAACGGAAAGAUAUGAGAGUCCUCUUUCUAAUGAAAUUGGUUUUAUCCAAUUUGGAUAUCAGAGUAAAACGUUAUAGUUGAUCUACUUCAGACUAUCAAAAUAGUCCACCAAAGGACAGAUUCAAGAAUUAUUUGAUUUUUAGGGUCGUUUUGGUCAUCUCCCCUCACCCAAAAUCCAUUCAAACCCUACAUUAAAGCCUAUUAGAAGCAUUAUAUGUUAUAUUUCAUCAAAUUCCCUCAAAAAGAAAACCCUAAGCUCCUACAUCCAACUUCAAGAACCUCCAAAGUUCACCAUUANNNNNNNNNNNNNNNNNNNNNNNNNNNNNNNNNNNNNNNNNNNNNNNNNNNNNNNNNNNNNNNNNNNNNNNNNNNNNNNNNNNAUCUCAAAAAUGAGUAUCGAUCUAAAGUUCAUCAUUCAAGGUAUGUGGGAUUUUUCAACAAGAACUCUCUUUCGUUCUCGUGGCCAAAAGUAAUUUUCUUUACAAAGGCAUGAUUUUUAUUUGACUUUUACGAAUUUGAAGCAUGAACCUAUAUCUUAUGAUGAUUAUUAUGAAAUCUUGAUGUUUAUGAUUUUGAAAGAUGAAUUUACAUGUGCGGAGAUAUAAAUCAUAAAUCUUGAACGAUAUUUAUAAUGAUUUAGAUAUUUGGGUCAUGAAUUCCCAUUGGAAAUUGUGUUUUUUGAGAAAGUGUGUGUUAUAAGCACGUUGAUGUUGAAUAUUUGGAUAUUUUGAAUGUUUUGACCUUUUGGUUUUAAUGGAGUUGUUUUGAAAUCGAGUGUGAAAGAAAUCCACAACGUGGUUGAUUUUGAUAGAUGGGAAGCAUGAUGGCUCCCAAUUUAUAUUUAUAUAUUGCUGAAAUUAUUUUGUUGUGGAUUGUCUUUGAAAUGAUCUGAGCUAAGUUCGGGAGAAAUCUUUAGCACCGAGUGGGAGGCAUAAAGCGAACAUACUUCCCUAUAACUACGUGCCCCCGUAGGAGUGAGCCUGAGGCUGAUUUAUAUAGUGAUCACUAGUUUGUGUGGAUUUGAUAUCGAUAGUCCUACUCCGAUGGCAAGGAUAGGACGGCUCUCCCCAACAUGGGUUGUACUUUAGACUCCAUAUAUCUCACAUGGUUUAUGUCAGUUAUAGGAUCUCCCAGCGUGUGUGUGUUUUCUUGUGUCUAUGGUGAAUGGUAAAGUGAUUUGAAAGUGGAAUUGUGAAAGUUAUUCUUUCAAAAGAUUUAAAUAAUAUUUACAUUAUGAGAAUUGAUAUUCUUGAUGAACUGAAAGUGAUUGACAAAUUAUAUGAUGACUCACGUGUGUUAUUGUACUUAUUUCAUCCUUUCUUGAUUGUGAUGAUUUUCUUCGGGCUAUGUGAGUCUUUCAUACAUCCUUCAUAUUUCUUAUAAGUAUUUAUGAUGAUGAUAUUUAUACAACUGCAAACACCCUCAUAUACUCGGUUCUUUUUCCUGGUACUGACCCACAUCUUCGGAUGUGGGCUGCAUUUUCUCGGAAUGUAGGUUCAAGUGCUCAGUUCCAGGUUUGAAAGUGAUUCUUCAGGCUCGUUGUUCUACAUCCUCUGUUGUGGUGAGUCCUCAUGUUCCGAGGACAUGAUGUCUGAUGUUGGUUUAAUGGAAUUGUUUACAGUUGAUAACUAAGUAUGAGUCAGUUGGGGCAUGUCUCAAUGGCUCACUGGUUUUAUUGAUUUUCUUAGAGGCUUGUCAGACUAGUAUAGAUUUUCGGAGUUGACUAAUAAGUCAUAUUUUGUUAUCUUUCUGAAAUUCUUUUAUUCUUGGAUGAUGAUUACUCUGUUGAUAUUUGAGGGUUAUUUAUGAAAACGCCGUUGAUUCGUGUUGAACUGCAUGAAAAUGGCUCAAAGGGUUAGCUUGGGGCUACUCGUAGCCUCAAGCACCGUGUGAUGCUCCGGGACCCAUUUUCAGGGCGUUACAGGUCUGGGUUGCAUUUUGAUGCAGAUAGGUAAGGUUAUAGUCUAUUUCUCCAGACAGCUUAAGCCUCACAAUAAGAACUACCCUACCCAUGAUCUUGAAUUAGCUAUUUUUGUAUCUGUAUUGAAAAUCUGGAGGUACUAACUUUAUGGGGUGCAUUUUGAUGUGUUUACGAACCUCAAAAGCUUGAAAUGUGUGUUUACUCAGAGGGAGUUAAAUCUUCAUCAGAUAAGGUGGUUAGAAUUGUUGAAGGAUUAUGAUAUGAGUGUACUGUAUCAUCCGAGCAAGGCCAAUGUAGUGGCAGGCACCCUUAGUAGAUUAUCUAUGGGAAGUGUUGCUCAUGUGGAUAAUGAUAAGAGAGAGCUAGUUUGAGAAGUUCACUGGUUAGCUAGAUUAGGAAUGAGGUUAGUUGACUCAGCUGAAGGAAAUGUUUGGGUUUAGUGUAGUUUAGAAUAUUCUCUUGUUUCUGAAGUGAAAGAAAAACAGGGCAAGGAUUCUAGUUUGGUCAAACUAAAGGAUUCAGUUAAUGACCAAAGGGUAGAGGUUUUCUCCCAAGGGGGAGAUAGAGUGUUAAAAUACCAGAGUAUAUUAUGUGUGCCAUGUGUUGACGAUUUAAGUCAGCGGAUUAUGGCAGAAGCACAUGGUGCGUGUUAUUCCAUUUAUCUAUAAGCCACCAAGAUGUACCACAAUCUGCGAGAAGCCUAUUGGUGGAGUGGUAUGAAGAAAGAUAUCAUAGAAUUUGUAGUUAAGUAUGUAACUUAUCAACAGGUUAAGGUAGAGCACCAAAGACCUGGUGGCACUUUGUAGGAGUUUGGUAUUCCCACUUGGAAUUGUGAAGAGGUGAAUAUGGACUAUGUGAUUGGAUUACCCUAUUCGCGUUGUUAGCAUGAUUCGAUUUGGUUUAUUAUAGACAGAUUGACCAAAUCAACCCAUUUUUUUCCAUUUCACAUGUACUACAUAGCUAAAUAUAUACUAAACUGUAUGUUAGAGACUUGGUUAGAUUGCAUGGAGUUCCCUUGUCCAUCAUUUCAGAUAGGGGUACUCAGUUUACCUCGCAAUUUUGGAAAGCCUUUCAGAAGUGUCUUGGUAUCCAAGUCUAUCUCAAUUCAGCUUUCCAUAUGAAGAUAGAUGGUCAGGCAGAGAGGACCAUUCAGACUCUAGAGGACAUAUUGAGGGCGUAUGUUCUUGAUUACAAAGACAGUUAGGAUGACCACUUGUUGUUGAUCGAGUUUGCCUACAAUAACAAUUAGCAUUCUAGUAUUCAAAUAGCCCCAUUUGAGGAUUUUUAUAGGAGUAAAUGUAGGUCAACAGUCGGUUGGUUCGAAAUGGGUGAGGCCACUUUGAUUGGGCCAAAUAUGGAGUUUGAAGCCAUGGAGAAAGUUCAAUUGAUUCAAGAGAGAUUGAAAGCAGCUCAGAGUCGACAGAAAUCUUAUGAAGAUGUAAAAAGAAGAUAUAUUGAGUUUGAAGUAGAUGAUCUUGUGUACUUGAAAGUUUCACCAUGAAGGUGGAGAAGAUAUUUGGAAAAAAAGGGAAGCUUAGUCCCUGAUAUAUAGGUCCCUACAGGAUUUUGGGUUGUGUGGGGAAGGUAGCGUUUGAGUUUGAGCUACCUGCAGAAUUGUCAUUAGUUCACCUAGUGUUGCAUGUGUCCUUAUUGAAUAAGUGCAUGGACGAUUCAGUUGUUUUGGCCUCUCUAGAAAGCACAGAUAUUAGGAAUAGCCUUUCAUACGAAGAUGUUCCAGUAGAGAUUCUUGAUCAUCAAACCCAUAGACUAAGGAAAAAAGAAGUUCCCUUGGUAAAAUUUCUGUGGUGAAAUCACUCUGUUGAGGGUGCUACUUCGGAAGCAGAAGCAGACAUGGGUACCAAGUAUCCUCAUCUCUUCUCCACGAACUCAGAUUCAGCCGAAGGUAACAAUCUUUAUUAAUUUAGUUCUUUUCCAGUCUUAGAUUUAGCCAUAUAGUUAUCUUCAUGAAUUCGCAGAAUAGUUCAGUCGCUCAGUAUAAGUGAGAUUCAGUCAUGCAGUUUUGUUUCAGUUGUGCAUUCUAGCAUAUAGCCUUAGUACCUCAGAAUCUUCAGUUUAACUAGUCUCAUUCAAGGACGAAUGUUCCCAAAGUGGAGAUAUUGUGAUACCCCGUACUUUUCUCAGCUCAGUUUAGCUCCUAGUAUGUCAAGAGACAAAUUCAAAAGUGUAUAAUUGUAACACCCCAAAAUCUCAUCCCAAGACGUCACACGGUGCUUAAGGAUACAAGUAGCCCUAAGCUAACCCUUUGAUCCUAUUACUACUUUUAACACUUGCUUUAGGAUAAAUAAGUUAAUCAAUGAUACUUUAUUGGGUCAACUAUAAUCUGAAAUAAUUGGAAAUAAUGUCUAAAUAGCAAAAAUACUAAUAAUCUGGAACACAACUUCAACUGACAGUUUAGUCUGACAAAGCCUCUACUACUCAAACUGGAGAGCCAUUGGGACAGACCUCCAACUUACUUGUAAUGAUCUGAAAGUAAAACUCAAAAAACUAUGAAAACAGGAAAGUUGCAAAUAUAUGUCCUCGAACCAUGAGGACUCACCAACUGUGGAAUGUAGACAAAGGUACUCGAGAAUCAUGGUCACUGCUGAGACUGAGCACCUGAAUCUACAUUAUGAGACAACACAACACACAGACGUAUAUGUGGAUCAGCAAUUUGGGAAUGUACUGAGUAUAUGGGGGUGUAUGCAUUUACAUAAAACAAUAUCAAUACUCUUUAAUAAAAUUAUACAUGUAAAUAGGAAUGAAUCACAUGGCUUGAAUAGGUCUAAAAUAUAAAACUCAUAAAUCAUAAAUAGUGAAACAUGUAACACAAAUCUCAUGAGUCAAUAUACUUAACUUUAAAAUCUAUGCACUCCUCUUAUUGUCAGUACUUGAAGGCUAAAGGAAGCUUUAAACAACACUUUCAAACUCAUGCUUUUAUCUUGUGGAGAGUAAAACUUCUUUAAAACUUAGAGCUUAUAGAACUUUUAGGAGCCUUUCAUACUUGGGAACUCUGGAACUCUUUUAGACUCGGGAGUUUCUUUUAACCGACAUAAACCAUGUGAGCUACAUGGAGUCCAACGUAUUUCCCACAUUGGGGAGAGUUGUUCUACCCUUGCCAUUGGAAUAGAACCUUAAAUUAAGUGAUCGCUCAUCUUAACCCACUUGGGAUAAAUCAAAAAUCUAUGGGGACACGUAGUUCUAGGUCAUGAGACCUUGGAAUCAUACCCAACUCGAUGCUAAAUACUACUCUCAUACUUAAGCUCAGAACUUUUAGGAAAUUCACCUUAAAAUAAUUCAAGGGUCUAUAAUAAAGACCAAAUAUAUAUUCCUCUUUACUUUAAAUUAUAACCAAAUGUGGAUUCCUAUCUUAGCUUACACCCAAGGGGUCAAAUUUUUAACUAAAAUCUGAAAAUAGCUUAGUUAUGGGGUACUUGUGACCCAAACAGUCUUGAGCAAUAAAUCUUAGAAUGGAGGUCUAUUGACCCAAACAGUAAAUCUCAAGUCAACAUCUCAAAAUUCAUUCUUAAGAAUGCAAUUACUCAUAAGGUAUCUUGAAAUCUGUAAGUCUAAUCAAUAAGCAUAGAAACAUAUGCAAAAUCAUGCUAUUUGAAUUUCAAUUUAUGGGAAGUAUCAAAACCUUGCAACUAAUGAUAAUGGGUGAAAAACCUCAACUAAAUUUCAUGUAAAAUCUUAUAAAUUGCAGAAAACUUGUAAUUUAAAUAAGCCUUUGGGAACAAGGGUGAAAGGAUUACCCUUUCUCAAAUCCCACAUACCUUAGAUUUUGACAUUAGAUGAAUAAGCUUGCUUGAGGCUCUUUUUUAAACUCUUGAUGAAGGUUCUUAGAGCUUUUGACUAGGGAACUUUGAAUCUUAAGUCAAUUUGCAGAAAUUAUGGAGGAAUCUUAAAGUUCUUGGAGAAGGAAUUGAGUUUGCUCUAGGGGAGAAAACCAUAGGUCUUGAUGUUUUUGAUUGAUAUGAAGUUAUUUACUUCGUUCUAAGUAUAUCUAAGUGUUAAAAGGGUGGAAAAAGACCAAAAAUUCCUUUUAAAAAUAACUUAAAAAUACUGAACGGGUUCGGCGACGAUUGGUGCAAUGGUCCGUUGCUGGGUCAACGGUCCGUCGGACUGACCGUUGCACCUGGACCAGAAUAGGGGUUCACUGCCUCGUCUGUGAUAGUCUGGGAGAUGGUUCAUUGAUAGAUCGAUGGUACAUCAGACCUCUUUAUCACACCUAGGAAGAAAGUGGACUCACUGCCUCAGCUGCGACGGUCCAUCGGACCUCUUCUUUGCACCUGGGCAGUUCAGACUGCUUUCUGUAAAACAUCCAUAUUUUUCUCUUUCGAUGUUGGACUUUGAUGAAAUGGGUAUCGUUGGAAAUAUAAUUCAAUUUACCACAAGAUAAAAAGUCAGUUUUAGUAAAACUCUCUUUAGUUUAAAAAUUAAUCACUUUGGAAGUCAUUCCUAAAUCUUUUAGAGACGGAAUAAGGCAUUACCUGACAUGUUCUAAAGGCUCAGCCUAUGAGGAAACUUUAUGGGGUCUUACAAUAACUCUUGAUAUGAGUGGCAUUUUCUAGUUCUAGACCCACCAAGUGGUAGAGAAUUGAAUCAUCUUUCCAAUGAUACCAAUUUUGCCUUAAUUUGAUACUCGGUUAAGAAGUUAUGAUGAUUUUAGUGAAAGUAGUAGAACACCGGUAUAAGCAUCACGUCGCGGUGAAGGACAAAUUCGUAUGUCCAAUUUCCAGUGGAGCACCAUGAUUAGUCCACAUAACAGAGUAAUUCCAAUUCCCGUUUGUCCCAUUCUAGUAGCUCACCGGGAUUAGCCUGUAUUGCAUAAAAAUUCUCAAUCAGACAAACACCGCAUUGCGGUGGAGUGCAAAAUGGCACUCGUUAUUUUUCUAGUGACACAACGCGAUUAUGCUGCAUCACGCAAGAGUCCAAAAUUGUAAUUGUCCCUUUUCCAGUGAGCCACCGCAAUAGCGGAGCAUUGUGGUGGUGUGCUAAAUCUGGAUUUUCUAGUUUCGAGUAAUUUUUACAAAGGGCAAUGUAGUUAUUUUUUCAAGCCCCAAAUCAUAAGAAACGGGGAAUUGAACCUAUUCUAAGCAUUAUAUGCAUACUUUUCACAUAAUUACACACCAAGAAAUCCUGGAACAUCAACUCUUAAUCCCUAAGAAAUUAGAAUUCCACCAUUCUUUUUUUCAAAGAUAACCCAAAAUUUAAGAUUUAUAAUUCAAGAAAUCAUCUUUAAAAGAACAAGUAGGAAUUCAAGUUCAAGCUUCUUUAUCAAUUUCAUCAAUUAAGAUAUGUGGGAUUUUCAACAAGGAUAAUCCUUUCAUCCCUAUGCCCAAAAUUAGUUUUAAAGUUGAUUUUCACAAGGACAUAUAUGAAUUUUAGGUUAGGGUUUAUACCCAUCUAUCACUAUUUGAAGAUUAUGAGAUAACAAGUGAUAUAGAUGUUGAAUUGCAUGUAUACUUUCAUAUAUCUAAGCGUGUGACUAUAUUUUCCAAAUUUUAAGUUGAACUAUUAAUAUUUUCAUUAUCCAGUAUGAUCUUUAUGAUGAUUUGAUAUGAAUUUGAUGUAUGGGUUACUAAGCCCUAGUUUAAAUGUUGAUAUUUCAAGAAUGACUAUUUAAGUAUCCCAUGAAUAGUUAUUUUCAGAUUUUUAUAAAGAUUUGACCUUUGAUCUUCAGUUAAUGUAUGAAAUCCACUUUACAGUUUUAUUACAAUUUACAGUAAUUAGAUUUAGCUUUACUUAUAGUUUGAAAUAGAUAGAUACAUAAUUGUUUUUUAUUAUAAACCAUUAUGCUAGUUUUAAAAGUGAAUCUCCACAGGAUGAGCAAACAGAUUAAAGGGAGUAGUAUUUAGAACUGAGUUAGGUAUGUUCUCAUGCCCCAAAACUAUGAGCAACAUAGGUAUAAACUAUCAGAUUAUUUCCAUUUCUAUAUGGGUGACAUUUACAGAUGUGAUCACUUAGAUUAGGUUAUACUCCUUGGCAAGAGUAUGACACCUCUCCCCAACGUGAGUUUUUUCCAUAAGGGAAAUAGACGUUGGACACUAUGAUAGUUCACAUAGUGUAUGUCGGUUAGAAGAACCUCCCUACAGACUAAUAGUAAAUACUUAUAGAACAACUUUUAGAAACAAGUGCAAAGGCUCACAAUUUUAUUCAGAUAUUGCUUUACCUAUGACAUUUGCUAUGAGAUUUCAGAUUUCAGUUUACAGAUACAAAAGUGAAUCCUUUCUACACUUAGACAACAUGAUUUAAAGAAAGAAUGCCAGUAUAGCUUUUAGAAACUACAUGUUAUAACUCACUAGAUUUAUGCAACAUGUUUUAUUAUUCAUGAUUAUGAUUUUCAAUUUUUAAAUAUUCUAGCUUAUGUGAGUCAUCGACAUUUAGUAUGCAUUUUUUUACAAAUUAUGAUGAUGUUGAGACAUUGUUUUACUUGUGCAUUUACCCCAUAUACUUGGUAUAAUCUAGAAGUACUAAUCCACAUAUACGUCUAUGUACUACAUUGUCUCAUAAUGUAGGUUCAAGUACUCAGUUUCAGCAGCGUUAGUGAUUUCAAGCAUCUCAAUCUGCCUCCUAAUAGUUGGUGAGUCCUUAUAGUUAGAGACCCAGUUAUUCAGUUUUUUUCAGCUUAUUAGUAUAGAUAAUUCAGUAUUUUCAGACAGUUUGAUUCAGCUGGGGGUUUGUCCCAGUGACUCUCUAGUUAUUAGUAGUAGAGGCUUGUCAGACUGCUAGAUAUGAUAUAGAUUUCUAGUAUUACUUUUCCAGAUAUUGAGUCUAACCUUUUAAGAUAUUAUGUUUAGAUAAUUUCAGCUUAGAUCAAAUAGAAUUCCACAUUAAUUUUAUGAUUAUAUUUCUCUAUUAUUAGUAUUCAAAUUUAGUAGAAGGAUUAUAUGGUUAGCUUGAGGAUACUCGUAGUCUUGAGUAUUGUGUGACGUCUCUAGACCCAUUUUUGGGGCGUUACACUUAUAAAAUUCCAACUUUUGAUAAGAAGCAUUAUUUAUUGACUAUUGUGGAUGAUUACAACAAGUAUACUUGGAUUCAUUUUUAACAACUAAAAUCUAAAUAUAUUAUGGCUGCUAAGCAUUUCUUGAGUAUGAUUCGUAAUUAGUUUGAUACUAAGAUAAAUGUUAUCAGAUCUAAUAAUGGGAUAGAAUUUCUCAACACUAAGUGUAGAAAGUUAUUUCAGUCUUUGGGCAUAAUACAUAAAAGUAGUUGAACAUAUACACCACAGCAGAAUAGUAUGGUUGAAAGAUAACACAGACAGAUAUUGAAUGUUGCUAGAGCUAUUAGAUUUCAAGCUCAAAUGCCCAUUGUGGGGUCCAAUUGUUAAAGUUGUAGUUUAUAUUAUUAACAGACUACCAUCUUUAUCUAUUGGAUGUAAGAGUCCUUAUGAAAUGUUAUUUUCUAAGGUUCCAUCCUUAUUAAAUUUGACAAUUAUUGGUUGCAAUUGUUAUGCUUCAAUAGUACACAAAAAGCUGACAAGUUUUCAAAAAGAGCAAAGUCAGCAGUAUUGAUAGGGUAUUCUGCUUUUCAAAAAGUUUAUUUGUUGAUGGAAUUGGUCACUAACAAGUAAUUUGUUACUUGAGAUGUUGUGUUCCGAGAGAAUGAGUUUCAGAAAAAACUUCAGAAUCAUCCAAAGACUUUCUUAUGGUUGAUGCAAGUAUCAUAAAUCAUGGAACUCAUAACCUUUAUAUAGCUUGCCCUGAGAUAUUAGAAUCUCAGAUUCAGGCUCCUGAGGUUCCUGAGUCAUUAGAAGAGGAUUUAUAUCAGUCACAUGUUUCAGCAAAUACAUUAAUUGAUGUAUCUUCUAGUUCACCAGAUGCAGGUGCAUUAACAUGCUUGCCACCUAUAACUGAUGCUCAAACAAUAUCAUCUCAAAUAACUAAGCAACCUACUUGGUUGAUGGAUUAUACUUCACCAGGGAAGAAGAAAGGGACCAAAUAUCCUUCAACCAGUUAUUUAUCUUAUGCUAAUACUACUGUUGUUUACCAAUGUCUUGUCUCCAAUAUGUCAAUACUGGUUGUACCCCAAACUUACAGCCAGGCUAUCAAGGAUGAAAAGUGGGUUGAAGCCAUGUAAUUAGAUAUCAAAGAAAUUAAAGAUAAUCGUUCCUGGAGGUAGUUGAUAUGCCUCAAGGUAAAAACAUCAUAGGAUCAAAAUAGGUGUAUAAAGUUAAAUAUAAAGCUAAGGGAGAAGUAGGGAGAUUUAAAUCAAGAUUAGUAGCCAAGGUCUAUAGCCAACGAGGAGGGAUAGACUAUCAUAAUACUUCUUUCUAUUGUGGCUUAGAUGGUUACUAUCAGGUGAAUUAUUGCAUUGGCAGUCUCCAAGAUGUGGUGUAUGUACCAGAUGGAUGUCUACAAUGUCUGUUUUCAAGGUGACCUUGAUGAAGAAGUUUAUAUGGAGAUGCCAAAAUGCUUUAAAGCAGGAAGAGAAAGCAAAUUAUUCAGAUUGAUCAAGUCCCUAUAUGGACUUAAGCAGGCUUUAAGACAGUGGAACAUCAAGCUCACUACAACCUUGAUUAAUGCAGGAUUUACUCAGAGCACAUAUGACUAUUCUUUUUUUACAUUAGAGAAGGAAGAAGGCAUGGUUGUAAUCCUAGUAUAUAUGGAUGAUCUUCUCAUGAAAACAUUACUAUGAUAAAUGAAGAAAAAGAAACCUUGCAUCAGCUGUUUAAUCUCAAAGAUUUGGGAGACCUCAAAUAUAUUUUGGGAAUAAAAGUGUUAAGAACUAUAGCUAGAGUCAUAUUAAAUUAGAUGAAGCAUAUUUUAGAGCCUAUUUCAGAGACUGGACUAGUUGGGGAUAAAGUUGCACCUACCCCAUUAGAAAUUAAUGUCAAGAUGACGUCAGUUGAGUUUGAUAAAGCAACAGGUGCCACAGGUGAUGUUGUUCUAAAGGACACUAUUUCUUAUCAAAGAUUGGUUGGGAAGUUGAUGUAUGCAACCAUAACUAGACCUGGCAUUAGCUAUGAUGUGCAGACCUUAAGUCAGUUUAUGCAACAUUAUAAAAUGUCUUAUUUGAAAGCUGCUAAAAGGGUAAUCAGAUACUUAACAGGAAUAGUAUGUGAUCUAAGGUGUAUUUAUAUGCCUCAGCACCAUAACUUAUCCAUCUUUUAGCUAAGUUUAGAGAAUAAAGUGUCUAGUUUCUUAUGUUUUUACUCUACUUCUUUGUAAUUGAGAUAACCAAUGUGAUUAGUAUGAUUUUAGGUAUUAAUGAAGUAGAUGAAGACAUAAUGGGACUAUGAAAUGUGGAUGGCAUAUGACACAAGAGAGAGUAGUAGUCUGGACCAAAUGUGGCACCUAAAAACUACGUCCAACACUAGUUUAUCAUUUAUAAUUAUUUCAGGGACUUAGAAGGCAAUUAUGAGAGAAAGAUUAUUAAAAGGCUUAAUGCUGAAUUUUUAUUCAUUAUUCAUUAUUCUGUAUUAGUUUUUGAAGAGGAAGAGUGGUGGCCUAGCUUGAGGAGAGAGAGAAAAAAACGUUUUUCUCUUGUUUUCCCUAUUCGCACACUAAGAUCUUCUCCUAGUUUUUGAUAUGAUGAAUAUUUGUAUUGUGAUUUUCAUUUUAUUCAUGAUUAGCUAAUUUUAUUAGUUAGGGUUAUGGAAGCCUUGUAGCAUACAAUCUAUUACUUUGGGUUUUGAAUUCAUUAUGCAUUGAUUUGUUUACAUCAUACUCUCUUCGCUUAUCUUGAAUUCUCGUGGUUGCAAACAUAGAGGAUAUGCCUUAAAAUGCAAUUUGCUCAAAAGAAAGGUUAAUGUUCGGCAACGAGAGUAGUGACAAGAAAAUAGGAUUACCAACUCCUAUUUCAUAUGUUAAUGCCUUAGCAGGAUUAACUACUUGGAGAUUUCGUAUUGUUUUUGGUAAACGCUUUUGAUUCGAGAGAACUAAAGUGAAUUAGUCCUUGAUGGUUGAGAAACAAUAGGAUUAUGUUAUUAAAUACAAUAUGUUUCUCUGUAAGCAUGAUGCAUGUAUGAAUUCGUAAAACCCAUAGUUAGAAAGUAUUGAAAACUACAAGGUGAACAUAACCCUAGUUUGCUAUUUCUCUGAAUUUUAAUACUACUACACGUAUUUCAUCUUGUUAAACCAAAACCAUUAAUUUGUGAACUGAAUCAAAUCCCUCCUAUUUAUUUUAUGAAAACGAAUGAUUAAAAGUCAACUAAUCUGCAUACAACUUAAUUAACACCAUAUUUCCUAGGGGAUUCGACCCCAACCUAGUUGGGUUAUAUAUUUGACAAUGACCAUUUACUCCCUCAUAAGAGAGGUGUAAUUUGGGCGUAUCAAAUUUUGGAGCCGUUGUCGGGGAAUACGGUUGUCGAUUGAGUUUUUGUGUGUUAAUCAAUUGGUAGUCAAGUUUCUUGAUUUUACAUUUAUUUGUUGAUUUUAUUUGUUACAGGCUCAUUGUUGUUUAUUCCAUGAACCAGAAGUUCAAGAGAACCAUUAUUACCCUUCAAUCCUGAACCUCAUCUCAUUGAAAGAAUGGCUAACCAAUAGGAAGUUGAAAGAUUAGCAGCUUUGGCUAAUGCUCAACUAAAUCUACAAAAUAUAGAUAAUCCAGGUCGGGUACCUAAUCUAGAUGAAGAGGACCUGGGAGAUAAUGAUUUAAUUGACCUGGCUAAUAGGAGGCAUGCAGCAGGGGUAGUUGCACCUGUAAAUUGAAAUCAUCCAUUUAGAGGAAAACCAGGCCACCAAGCUGCACAGUUUGAUGUUGACAAUAAUGAGGACAAUUUUGAUGGAAAUAGAUCAAUAGGGGCAAUCAUUCUACCACCAUUAACUCCUGGGGUGAAAUUCAACAUCCCGAGUACUAUGAUCCAUCUACUAGAUUUGAAAGAACUCUUUGGUGAUGAUCCAAAUCUAUAUUUGGUGAAUUUCAUCAGUAGUUGUAAGUCAUUUGAUAAUCCUAGAGUGGGACAAAAUGCUAUUCAUUUAAGAUUGUUCCCACUGUCUCUGUCUGGAGAGGGAACUAUGUGGUUAAAUAAGCUAACUCCUGAUUCUAUCACAAACUGGAGACAAUUGAAAGGAGCUUUCCUAGAAAGGUUUUUUUCGCCCUCCAAAAUAUUACAGUUGAGGGAUGAGAUCAGCAACUUUAGGAAAUUGGCUAAUGAAGCUUUGCAUGAGACUUGGGCCAGGUUUAAAAAGAAGUUGACUCAAUGUCCAAACAGUAAGAUGACUGACGAACACUUGAUGGAAAUAUUGUACAGAGCUUUGAACUCACUUACAAAGCCAAUAGUGGAUAAUGCUGUAUGAGGAGCUUUUUUGGAGCUCACUUUUACUAAGACUGCGAACAUGUUAGAAAGAAUGACUAAGACAAGUAGAGCUUGGCAUACCAGAGAUUCUGUGGUAGCAAGCAAUACUAGGUCUUGUGUAAUAUCAGCAGAGCAGCGUAGGAGAGAAAAGGAGUGUGAUCAGGAUAUGGCUUAUAUAAAAACCCAGAUGGAUUUGCUCACAAAAUAUUUGCUAUUAGGGAAUGUAGAAAAGGUAAAAGUUGUGGGGUCCCAUGGUAAGGAAGCUGAAUCAAACACCAAAGAAGAGGCUAACUACUUGCAUAACUAGGGGGUUUCCAGAACGGUGGUCAAGGAAACCAAGGUUUGAACCAUCAAGGAGAUUGGAAGAAUAAAAGUGACAGAAGUGGACUGUAUGUACCUUCUGGAAGUUGUGAUAAUGCUGCCACCAGUUCAGGCAAAAUGUCCAUAGAGGACAUGAUAGAGAAACUAUUAAAGAGAGUUGAGGCAACCAAUUCUGGGGUGACUACUAUAAGGAGUGACAUAUCUUCCAUGAGUCAACUAGUAAAUUCACGUGCAAUUGCUAUUAAACAACUGGAGUAGCAGAUGAGCCAAUUAUCCAUAGCAUUCAACCAAAUAUAGAAUGGGACUACUGAGUGAUACAAUUCAGAAUUCGAGGACUGAUGGAUCGUGUAUGGCCAUUACCACUAGGAGUGGUAAGAUGUUAUCUAGUCCAAGAUUGGGAGCAUCCUCUCAUACUAAUGCGGUCAAAAUAGAUUGGGAGAUGGUUGAUGAAUAUUCAGUGGUGCCUGUGGAGUUGGGAAGAUAAAAAAAGAGUGCAGAAGUGGAACAACCACCUAAGCCGAAGCAUGUUAGUGAAGCGGAGAAAGACAUAAGAAAGGAGGCAAAAUUCUCCAACUGAAAUCCCAAGGCCACCACCCCCAUUUCCACAAUGAUUAAAGAAGAAAGAAGAUGAUCGGAAGUUUAGCAAAUUCAUGGCUAUGUUAAAGCAGUUGACAGUAAAUGUGCCCUUAGUUGAAGCACUAGAACAGAUGCCCGGAUAUGCUAAGUUUAUGAGAGACCUGUUGAUGAAGAAAAGGAUUGUGAGCUAUGAAAUUGUAGACAAUCUUCAUCAUUAUAGUGCUAUUUCUACAAGAUCUAUUAUCUAGAAGAAAGCUGAUCUGGGAGCAUUUACUGUUCCAUGUAUGAUUGGAUUGCUGAAGUUUGAAAAGGCCCCUUGUGAUCUUGAGGCAAGUAUAAAUCUUAUGCCAUUGAUAGUUUUCAAGAAACUGGGUUUGGGAGAUCCUACGCCCACCAAUAUAUUGCUUCUAAUGGUGGAUAGAUCGGUAAAAAGGCUGAUUGAGAUUUUACAUGAUGUACUUGUAAAAUUUACAGAUUUUAUAUUUCCUACCAACUUUGUAAUUCUUGAUUGCGAAGUGAACUUUGAAGUAACUAUAAUUUUGGGUAGGUCAUUCCUAGCAACUGGGAGAGCGUUAGAUGACAUGGAGCUACAUGAGCUAAAAUUUAGGCUCAACAAGAAAAAAGUUAAUUUUGAAGUAUGUGGGUCUAUGAAACAACAAAAAGAGAUAAGGUUUUCUCUAUUGUUGAUGUAUUCUAUGAAGAUGAGCGAGAUGUACCUGUUAAGGAUAGGUCUGUUGUGAAGACCAUAGCUGGUUUGGUUGAACUUGUAAGCAAGGAUGUGAGUGACAUCAAAGUGGUUGGACUAGGAAUAAAGCAUUGUCUUGAUCCAAAAAAUGAGGUACAAAUGGUAUCAUUGAUGUAUCUUGAUGAAGUUUGAGUAGAUCGAGCCGUGCCGCAAUGUUAAAUCAGGCGCUACAUAGGAGGUAAUCCAUGAUUUUAUUUUCACUUUAUCAUGUUAAACAAAAAUGCAAAAAAAAAAAAAGUCGAGCCACGAUCGAAACUGCGGCGCUUGGUGGGAGGAAACCCAUCCUUAUAAUCAUUUUUGUUGUUUUUGAGUAAGUGUACGUGCAUGAAGUACUACGGAGAAGAUUAGUACCAAAUUUGAUUUGGAAUUGAGCUAUGUCAAUGGUGGUAUGUUUAGGAGUGAUGGGAACAUUACAGGUAAGUUGGAGUGGUCAAAUAUGUAAGGCUCAAGUAUGAUUUGCAUUAGAGUCGUGCCUUAAAAUAUGUUAAUCCGACCCAAAAAGUUUUGCAGUGCGACUUUAUUUCGUGACUUUCAAGGAGGUCAGUGGCAUAGUGUUGGAUUUUAAGUGUACUACUGGGUGUGGCGCUUAAUUUCACUUGAAUAUUGGUAAGGGCAUCAUUUAGCACUUAGCAUAGGUGCAUUGCUUCAUACCAAGAAAAACGAGGGCAUGUGUGCAUCACAUACCUUUAUGUGUGCGACCAACUGUGCGCCACACAUCCUAUCGUACAUGCUCACUAGACCAACUAUGCGAUGCAUAUUGUGCCGCAUACCUUGAUGUGUGUGAUAACUUAUGCAUCGCAUACUUUAACAUGUGCGAUAAGAUAUGCAUCGCACACCUAGCCGCACAUGCCCACUACCUUAAGUCUGUGAUACCUUAUGCGACGCAUACCUUGAUGUCUGCUAUAGGUAGUGCGUCGCCCACUUCUCUGCAUAAGCUCACUUCCCAACUGUGCGACAACAUAUGCGACGUACACUUUGAGAUGUUCAAUAAGAUGUGCAUCGGACACUUAGUCCAAAUAAGCCUAAAAUCCGACUUCCAACUUUAAGUUGGGUCAACCCGACCCAAAUUUUCAUUCUUUAAGUAGACUUCAUACCCUAAAUGCCCAUAUUCAUCCUUAUUUCACCCUUAAGCCAUCUAAUAUUAAGAUCUCACCAUUCUCUUUGUCCUUUACUAAUCUUACAUCUUCGAGGUAAGUUUUACUUUUUUUAAUCCUUAGUUAUUAUGACUCUAUGUUAUAGUUAUUUGAUUUUUUAAGGAUUAUGAAUUAAAUUCUUACCAUGGCUAUGUUGUGAAAGUGAUGGUGUUUUGUAUAUUUUGGUAUGGUUGAAAGUGUAGAGCAUAAUUCUGUUUAAAAAGUGCUUCUUUGGAAUAGAAUUGGGGGAAUUGAAGUGAGUGAAUUGUAUUGCGAAUAAUGUAGGUGCGCUAUACCAAAGUGUAUGUUGGUGAACUCUGAGUACCCGAUAAUAACACUUAAUUGGUUUAUACUAAAAAAAUUAAGUGUGGGGUGGUGAAUUCACCACCUUCAUCUUAAUUGUAGUUAGUUUCAUUAUGUGUGGUUGACGUGGAUGAUAUGAUGAACACAGGAAAAAUGGCUCUAAUAAUGAUCUCAAUGCAGGUGUGAUGACUCCUAAUGUGGAUGAGGAGUACUACUAGCCAGGUUCUUUAUCUUGUUAUUUGCACUGGGGACAGUGCUGAGCUUGAGUGUGGGGUGGCUGGUUACUUUGCUACUUGUUUUGUAAGAAAAUAGUACCUUCUCCUUAGGAUUAUUCUCUGAUAGGAUUAGUUAUUUUGUUUAUUUUGUUUCUUGUUAGAUGUUUAUUCUAUUUAGUCAUAAUUAGGUUCUUUUCUCGAUGAUGGGUGGAUGAUGACCGUCUUAAGAGAAAAUUAGUCAUUUAAUUGCAUGUAAUUGUUCUUCUGGAUCAUAUGACAUUAUAACAUAAGUAUGUGAUAGAUCAUUACAUUUGAAACACCUAGCUCUAGUUGUGACUCUUGUUGUGAUUGUUGGUUUUAUUUGAAUUCAUGUAAUUGUUGGGUCUAGAAUCUAUAAUGCUCUUAAUUGAGUUGACCAUGUUCCAUGAGUGUGUAAGAAUUUGUAUAUUCCUUAUUGCAACUGAUGCUAGAACUUUCCUGGUGUUUGUGCACAGCGAAAUAAAGAUUGUGAGUUUAGGAGAUAAUUUAGGUAUUUCUUUGAUAGCCAUUGUUCAUACCUUCUUUUGACCUACCUUUGUACAUUAUCUUAGCUAGCCCUGUUAAGCCUUUAGCUUGUUCUUUUGUUAGCCUCAUAUGUAGCCUAUUUCGUUUUUUAAUAGACAGUAAUUUGAUCCAAAAGCUCCUAAGCGCUUUAAUGUAAAAUCAAUUUGAGUUAGAAGUUUGACAAUUAGAGGAAAAAGGUGAAAUUGAUGCCCCAAAGUCUAGUUAUUGGCGUGUAAAAUUGAUGUGGUUGGGAGUAGCAAAAAUUGUUGAAAAAAGUUCAAAAUUUUAUCCUGAACAUAUUACAAUGAACCUGUUUUGGCCCUGUUCCUUCUUGGACAUUGUGCACCUCAACUAAGGCAAAUCGCUUAAGUUCAGGGUGGCUAUUAUAGGGGUGCGUAACAUGAAAAGAGUGCAAACAAAAAAAUAUUUGAAAGGGUUGCAUACUCCCACCAUAGUGUUAUUAAUUAAGCUUAAAGAUUUGGGGUGAAAAGUAAAUCUAUGAAGAUAGCAGAAGUGGAAAUUGGUUGGUAGAGAUUGGUCUUAAUUGCAUAAUGUAGUGUAUUAAAGCUCUUAGGGAAGAUAGUCACUAUUUCUGGCCAAAAUAGUUCCUACCCAUCCUUUAGCCUGCAUUACAACCUGUAAAAGACCUAUUUGAUCCUAAUCUUACCAUUCUGAUAUUAGUGGAGUAUUACACUACGGGCAAGCAUAUGGUCAUCAGUUGUAAUUUCAGAAUUCUUUGUGAGAGUGAGCGCAACUUGAUUCUUGUACCCAUUUUGUUAGAAAUUACAUGAUUGUGAGUGAUUAUGGGUAACUUUCUUGUUGUGAGGGCACAUAGUUAAUGAAGUUUGGGUAAUUUAUAUGAUUUCUUUUCUUAAACGGUAUGCAUGAAAUUUCCAACUUAAAGAGUCUAUUCUUGAGGGUAGGUUGUCUCUAGUAAUGAUUCCUGAAUCUACUUCUUGUUAAUAAUUGUUGUGUGAGCCUAUUUAAGCAUUUUGUCUUCCUUUGUGGAUGCUAAGGCUUAUGUAGUAUUCAUAAAUAGAUAUGUUGUUCGAGGAAGAACAAAUAUUUAAGUGUCGGGUGGUGAUCUAGGGUGUAUUUAUACGCCUAAGCACCAUAACUUAUCCAUAUUGUAGCUAAGUUUAGAGAACAAAGUGCCUAGUUUCUUUUGUUUCUACUCUACUUCUUUGUAAUUGAGCUAACAGAUGUCAUUAGCAUGAUUUCAGGUAUUAAUGAAGAUAUAAUGGGACUAUGGAAUGUGGAUGGCAUAUGACACAAGAGAGAGUAGCAGUCUGGACCAAAUAUAGCGCCUAGAAACUAUGUCCAAGACUAGUUUGUCAUUUAUAAUUAAGUCAGGAAUUUAGGAGGAAAUUAUGAGAGAAAAGAUUAUUAAAAGGCUUAAUGCUGAAUUUUUAUUCAUUAUUCAUUAUUCUGUAUUAGUUUUUGAAGAGGGAGAGUGGCGGCCUAGCUUGAGGAGAGAGAUCAAAAAAUAUUUUUUUCUUGUUUUCCCUAUUCGCAUACCAAGAUCUUCUUCUAGUUUUUGGUAUGAUGAAUAUUUCUAUUGUGAUUUUCGUUUUAUUCAUGAGUAGCUAAGUUUAUUAGUUAGGGUUAUAGAAGCCUUGUAGCAUACAAUUUAUUACUUUGGGUUUUGAAUUCAUUAUGCAUUGAUUUGUUUACAUCAUACUCUCUUCGCUUAUCUUGAAUUCUCGUGGUUGCAAACAUAGAGGAUAUGCCUUAAAACACAACUUGUUCGAAAGAAAUGUUGAUGUUCGGAAAAGAGAGUAGUGACAAGAAAAUAGGAUUACCAACCCUUAUUUCAUAUGUUAAUUCCUUAGCAGGAUUAACUACUUGGAGAUUUCAUAUUGUUUUUGGUAAACGCUUUUGAUUCGAGAGAACUAAAGUGAAUUAGUCCUUGAUGGUUGAGAAACACUAGGAUUAUGUUAUUAAAUACAAUACGUUUCUCUGUAAGAACGAUGCAUGUAUGAAUUUGUAAAGCCCAUAGUUAAAAAGUAUUGAAAACUACAAGGUGAACAUAACCAUAGCUUGCUAUUUCUCUGAAUUUUAAUACUACUAAACGUAUUUCAUCUUGUUAAACCAAAACAAUUAAUUUGUGAACUGAAUCAAACCCCCUAUUUAUUUUAUGGAAAUGAACGAUUAAAAGUCAAUUAAUUUGCAUACAACUUAAUUAACAUCAUAUUCCCUGUGGGAUUCGACCCUAACCUAGUUAGUUUAUAUAUUUGAAAACGACUGCUUACUCUCUCAUAAGAGAGGUGUAAUUAUAGCGUAUCAGUAUGCCAGGGCAUUUUGCUUAAAGUUCAGCCUACUGCAAACCUUGUGUGCUAGUGUGACUCAGACUGGGCAGUAUGUCCAAACACACGGAGAUCUGUCAUAGGAUACAUAGUGUAUUUUGGUGAAUCCUUGAUAUCCUAGAAUUCCAAGAAGCAACAUACUGUAUCUAGAAGCUCAGCUAAAGAAGAAUAUAUAAGCAUGGCUUCAGCUCUAGCAGAAGUCACAUGGUUGACAGGAUUUUUUGAAGAAUUGAAUGUGCCCAUAAAUAAGCCUAUCAAACUCUUCACUGAUAGUAAAUCAACAAUCCAACUAGAAGCCAACCCUAUCUUUCAUUAAAGGACAAAACAUAUUGAGAUUAAUUGCCACUUCAUAAGAGACAAGAUCAAGGAAGGGCUUGUGAAGACUAUGUAUGUUCCCACAACUCAUCAAGUUGCAAAUAUACUUACUAAGAGCCUGACUCAAGACGAAUACUUUCAUCUUCUAGGAAAGAUUGGUGUGCUUAACAUUUUACACCCUUCAGCUUGAGGGGGAGUGUUAAAAUGUAAAAUGUAUAGUGUAGCAUUAGUUUUCUAAUGUAGUAAAACAGUCUUCACUACUUUACUGCUUUACUAUUUUUAGCUACUCUAGGUGAUAGUUAGUGAGUAGUUACACAAGCUGUUAGGAGUAGUUAUUAGAAGGUUCUAGAAGAUAAUGUAUGACUCAUGUGAGUCUAUAAAUACUAAGUACGACAGUCACAUUAUGCAAUUUUCAGCUUAUCAAUGAAGCUAACUUCUUCUCUUCAACACAACAACUAAAAUAUAGUUAUUCCUUCUUCUUAAUCGUAGUCAGUUUUUGUCCCUGUCGGGUGGACUCAAAUGAUUUUAACAAGCAUAUUUUAUUAUUUUAUUUAUGCCUGCUAAAUUUCCGAAAACGUGUAAAGUAUAGGCCAUGUGUAUUGUGCUAUAUAUAGAGCGAGAUAAUUUCAAACGUUUCCUUCAUUUCCUCUUCAACAUUUUAUAUCUUUCCAUCUUCUAGUUUCACCUUAUCUUUCCAUAUAUAUAUCACAAAACUCAACAAGAACAAGUGUUUUGGAAAUAUAUUUGGUAUGUAUAUAUAUCUUGUUUCUAUUUCUGUCUAUGCUGCUCGGAUUCUUAAAAAAUUAUCUAUGUUUUAGUAUCUGGAAAGCUCCUGCUUCCAUCUUUGAAGAGUUUCUAGUAACAUAUCGGAGGAUUGAACUACUUUUUAAUUUACAUCUACAUAGCUAGAAAAUGCAAAGGGGAGCCUUAGAUACUAGGAGGUCACAGGUUCAAGCCUUGGAAUCAACCUCUUGCAGAAAUGCAAGGUAAGGCUCUAUACAAUUCACCCUUAUGGUCGCCCUUCUUUGGACCCUAGAGGGAGGAACUUUAGUGCACCGGAUUGUCGUUUCAUACCUACCAGGUACCUUACACGUACUUUUCUCCGUUUUAUCUAAUAUUUGUCAAGUAUCUUGUUAUCUCCACCCUAAUUUGUAGUUUCAUGCUUACAGAUGAAUUUUUAUCUUAAUGGAAAAAAAGAUCGUAGUUUCAUGCUUCCAUUCAAAUUAGAUUUGUUUCCUUUCUUGAAAAGAGAUUAGGAAAAAAAUGGAUUAAAUUUAUUAGGCAAUUAGGUGUAGUUCCGUCAAGUUGGAAAGAUCAAACUUUGGCCUUUUUCUUUUUGAAGGUAACUGAGUAAAAGGGUUAACUUAAAUUUAUUGAACUGUAUGUGUUAAAUUGCCAAAUUUACUUAUGGAUAUAGAUAUUUGUUGUUUCACUAGAUAAUAAACAACUGUUGUUUCAAAUUUACUUAUGAAACAAUGUAGCACAUAGACAUAUAUGUGGAUUAGAACUUUGAGGAUGUACUGAGUAUACGGAGGUGUAUGCAAUAAUAAAAUAAUAUCAUCAAUCUUUACAGAAAUCAUGCAUGCUGAGAUAAAUGACUCAUAUAGCUUGAGCAAAAGCUGAAAUCUAAAUCUCAUAAAUCACGAAUAAGGAAGCAUGCAGUAUAAAUCUCGUCAGUCAUUACACCUUAUUCUAAAAUCUGUAUCCUCUUCUUGUUCUCAAAUCUUGUCAACUGGAUGAAAUCUUAAAAUAAUAACUUUCAGAACAUACACUUUAAUCUUGUGCAAAUAAGGGACUUCUUUUGAAACAAAGGAAUUAUAGCACUUUAGGAAACUUAGGACUUGGGACACACAGACUUGGGAACAUUAAGACUGUAACACUUUUAGAGACUUUGAGACUAAAAAGUUUGGAAAUCUUAAAAUAUUAACUUUCAAAAUAUAUACUAAGACUUUAAAUCUAUAAACUAUUAAAGGAGUAGGGCUCUUCUUUGGGAGGUUCUUCUAACUGACAUAAACCAUAUGAGCUGACAUGGAGUCCAACGUCUUACACACAUUGGGGAGAGCUGUUCUACCCUAGCCAUCGGAAUAGAACCUUAACUGAAGUGAUCACUAUCUCGGCCUCUGGCCAAUAAAUCUCAAUCCUACGGUGGCACAUAGUUCUGGAAAAGUAGGAUGUGUUAAACCCACACUUCCCGUUCGGUGCUAAAUACUACUCCCAUACUUAGGCUUAGAACUUUUAGAAAAUUCACCUUAAAGAAACUCAAGGGUCUAUAAUAAAGACCAAACUCAUAUCUAUAAUCUGUAAUAAACUCUGAAAAAUGGAUUCCAAAACUCAAUUGAGGAUUCGAAGAUCAAAUACUAUUAUAUAACUCAAAAUAUACAAAUCUCAGGGUGCUUAAAGCACAUGUUCUUGAAAUAUCAAUACUCAAUCUUAGGGAUUAAAGCUCAUGCUUCAAACUCAUGUCAAAACAUCUCAAAAUUCAUGCUUGAUAACAUAAACAUUCGUAAAUCAUAUUAAAAUCUGAAAAUUUCAGCAAUGCUCAUGAAAUUAAACAAACUGAUGAAAUGUAUCUUCAACAGCUCUCAAAAACUCAAAAUCUUGUAAAGAGUGAUAAUGGGUAUGAAUCCCAAUUUAGAACUCAUAUAUAAACAUUCAAAACUAUAGAAAAACAUCCAACUCAAUAUGCUUCUUGAAGAUACUUCGACACCAUCAAAAUAAUAAGGUCAAGAAUCUCAAUAUCAUACUUAAACUCAAUUUUGAAAAUCUAAAAAAUUGCAUUACGCACAUAAAUACAUAAAAAUAGUCAUGCCAUUCAAUAUUCAAUCACUUGUAAACUCAUAAUCUUUAAACAAUAUAAAUUGGGUAUAAACCCUAACUUAGCUUUCAUGGAAAUCAUAUUAACAUUCAGAAAUUCAUAACUUAAACAAGUUUUGGGCACAAGGACGAAAGGAUUGUCCUUGUUGAAACCCCACAUACCUUAAUAGUUUGGAUUUGAUGAAUUGAAUGUAAAAGCUUGAACUUUGAAUCCUUUGGAGAAGAUCUUGAUAUCAUUCUUGAAGUUCUUGGAUUAGAAACUCUAAAAUCUUGAUCUUUUUGUUGAACAGAAGAAGAUGGGAUUGAUGAUUUUAAGCCUAAUUAGGGUUGUUCUUGAGGGAAAUUUUGAAAAAUAGGGGCAAAUAAUGCCCCAAUUGAAGCCUUAGAUCGUAUUUUUAUGACCUAGGUUGAGGUGGGAAAAGACCUCAUUGACCCUCAUUAAUUUAAAGAAAAAAAUCGUAACCCGUAUCCCGAUUUUUACCUUUAGCGCAACGCGCUACCAUCAUGGCAGCUUAUUGCCUCACACUAAAAUGGCUAUAACUUUUCGCUCGGGUAUCAGAGUUUUGCAAAAUUGGUAUCGUUGGAAAGCUAAUUUAAUUAUAUACAAUUUAGUGGGUAUUGGGAUGGAAAAUUCUGCAUAUAUAAAAUUAUACACGUUAAAAGUAGAUCCUUGUAAGAUUGAAUGCCAAAUUUUGGUAGAAUCUAAUGUUCUUAGCUCCACUUGGCUCUAAGUGACUUCUAUGAACAUUAUUCACCUAAUAAGGACUUCACAUACUUAGUAUUAAAGUCAUGACACAAGAAUUAAAAUUAUGGAUCAAGAGUACAACAAUUACACCUUCACCGCGAUGCAGUAAAAUUGCAUUAAGUUACUGGAAAAGGACAAGUGCAAAUUUGCAUUUUGGCACGACGUGGCUCUAUCGCAUUGCACCACUAGAAAUUGACAGUUGAGAAUUUGGACCUCUCUGAGAUGUGCUAAUAUCGUAGAGGUCCACUGGAAUGUGACGAUUGCCAUUUUGGCAUCCUCCGCGAUGCGGUGAGUGCCCAGGUGGAACACUGCAUUACUAACAAUGCUCUGACUUCUCUAUCAAGUGUCGAAUUUGGGAAAAUUUGAUAUCGAUGGAAAGUUUAUUCAAUUUCUCACACAAUGGAAGGUCUAAAUCUGGAAAAUUUAGUAUGAAAUAAAGGUUAUUCAUUUUUUAAUCACACUCUUAGCAUUCUAAAAAUGAAUUUUAAGCGAGCAAAAACAUGGGGUAUUACAAGGUGCGUAGCGUACCUGAUUAGCCACCUGGUCUAAUCACAAUUCAACCCUGAUUUCUACAUUACUAUAAAUUAAAAGAGAUGUUUCUCUAUCAAUAGUUUUUGCAAAUCAUUGAAAUCCUUGGUUGUGGCAAAAACUCUGUAAGAUCAGGUUCUAAACUUUUACUACGUUAGUUAAGGGUUCUUGAGUCUUUCUUUGUAAUUGAUUUACUCAACAUAUAAGAGUAAAACUUUAUUUUUUCUAUAGAAUUCUUAGAUAGAGUUACCUAAGGUAUGUCGAUUUGAGUUAAUCAAUUUUGAAGUGUAUUGAGUGUGAAGAGGUAGUUGUAGUAGAUUUAGUACAACUUGAAGAACUUAGAUUUUAGUUCAUUGGAGUUUGUCAUCAAUGAGUUUUUAUUAUAGUUGAGAAUUGUAGGGUGUACCAUCUGACUCAGAAGUAAAAUAAAGAGUAGUGUCAUAAACUGCUGAAUGUGUUUCUAAAGUCUUAGAUUAUGCCUAUGUGAUUUAAAACUAUUUAGAGAUAACAUGUGAUUUAUGAAAUGUUCUCACCUAUGAUUUUAGAAAAAUGCAUAGUUUGUUUUUGGAUUGUUCUGCGUACCAGUAUAUCUGUAUUGACUCCCCUAUAUUUCAGGAUCCUGAGACAUAGUUCUGAGGUCCCGUUAAGCAGUAGAUUGACUUGUUAUAAGUUUGCAGCAGGUGAGCCUCCCUUACUUUGGAGGGCCUGUAUUAGAACUUGUUACUGUUAUUUCAUUUUGAUUGAUGGUCCUACUGUGGGCCUUGUUCCAGAUUUCAAAAAAAAUGUCAUUUUCAAUUGUUAGAGGUUUCGCAGACUAAUGUUAAACAUUGUUAGAGGUUUAUGGUUUCCAUUCCAGAUUAUUCAAUUGAAUUAUGAUAUUGACCAUGAUUCCGUAUUUUUUUUAUAUUUUUUCAUUUUCCUUCAUAUUAUAUGAAAGUGUGUAUGAUUGUCAAAUAGAGAAGGGUGCUUGGGCCUUCAUGGUUUUGGAUACGCAUCACGGCCAGGACCCCGGUUUGGGUCAUGACAAUAGUCCAUUUUGUGUAAUGGGCAAUAUUUGAUGAAAUUCCCAAGUUUCACACACUUGUGCCAGACUUCAACAUUACCUCCCUAACUAGCAUUCAAAACCUCAAAGUCUUAUUCAAGCGAGAAGGACACUGAUGUUUCUUAUUUGGCAAAGAAGAUUGUAAGGGCAGUAGAAAGGUAGGUAAUAUUGAAGUCUACCACAAGUGUGUGAAACUUGGGAAUUUCAUCAAAGAUUGCCCAUUACAAAAAAUUGACUAUUGUCAUGACCCAAACCGGGGUCCUGUCCGUGAUGCGUAUCCCAAACCAUGAAGGCCCAAGCGCCCUUCUCUAUUUGACAAUCAUACACAUUUUCAUAUAAUAUGAAGGAAAAUGCGAAAAUAUAAAACAAUACAGAAUCAUGGUCAAUAUCAUAAUUCAAUUGAAUAAUCAGGAAUGGAAACCAUAAACCUCUAACAAUGUUUAACAUCAGUCUGCGAAAUCUCUAACAACUGAAAAUGACAUUUUUUUGAAAUCUGGAACAAGGCCCAUAGUAGGACCAUCAAUCGAAAUGAAAUAAUAACAAGUUCUAAUACAGGCCUUCCAAAGUAAGGGAGGCUCACCAACUGCAAACUUCUAACAAGUCAAUCUACUGCUUAACGGGACCUCAGAACUGUGUCUCAGGAUCCUGAAAUAUAGGGGAGUCAAUACAGAUAUACUGGUACGCAGAACAAUCCGAAAACAAACUACGCAUUUUUCUAAAAUCAUAGGUGAGAACAUUUCAUAAAUCACAUGUUAUCUCUAAAUAGUUUUAAAUCACAUAGGUAUAAUCUAAGACUUUAGAAACACAUUCAGUAGUUUAUGACACUACUCUUUAUCUUACUUCUGAGUCAGAUGGUACACCCUACAAUUUUGCUACCCCACGGGAUAUAUGGGAUCCAUCCUUGACUCAGUGGCCAAGCCCUCAACCCAAGUUUGCCGAAAGGGUUGGAGUUUCUGCUUAUUCUACUAAGCCCCAGGGUCGUCGCCAGCGUAUAAUUUCCCUUUUGGGUAUCAUAAACCCGUGUCGGCAAAUCACAGUUUUGGGAAAUGAGUCAUUUGACUCGUUCCUUCUUCGGGUAACCACCUAACUCUCUUAAGCCUAGUUUUAGAUUCUUCAGGCCAUAUCUUCUUUGAAACAUCCUUUCUUUCUUAAUAUUUUUCAGGUAUAUCAAAAAUAGGGUAUCGUCAUACCCCAACUUGCAAGUCAUGUCACAACAUAUCUACUUCCCUUAUAUUAUUUCAAAAGAGGUUUAUUGAACACCCAAAAGAUCUACCAUUUGAACAAAAGUUCAUAUUUCAAAACAGUUAAAAAUCAGCCCAUUCCCGAUACUUAUUCUAUAGUGGUCAUCCUUUUCAAUUACUUUAAAACCAUUCUAAAUAAGAAUUAUGAUAAUUAUAAAACAAGUAAAAACACUCUUUCAUUACUUUAUGAAAACAACCAGUACAAUUCAUCUGUAAUAAUCCAUCAACAAACCCAAUCUUUCAACAGUUUGUAAAUUUAAUUCAAAAUAUGUAAAUCCAAUGAAAUUUCUAGUAAAAGAGGAAAUGACAAGUCUCAUGCUCUCAUUAACUUCUCAAUAUUGACAUCACAAGAUCACACAAAAGUAUUUGGAGUUGAAAACACUUCAUCACAAUCUCCACAGUUUCUUUAUAACAAUAUGAAAUCCUUGACGCAUAACCAUCAACAAUCUUGAAACCAAAUUAGUUUGUAGGUAUAUAUAUAUAUAUAUAUACUUUAAAAUUAAUUUAAAAACAGUAAAAUCCAUUCCCAUGAGGUUUAGGAUAGUCCCACGUACCUUAAAUGAGUAGAAUCACAAAGAAAUUUUGAAAAGAUUUGACCUUUAAGCUUGAUUGUCCAAACUCUAGUUGUUUUCUCCUCUUGUGUUCUUGAAAGAUGAAUUAGGGAUCUUAAGAGACAGUAAAACAUUACUAAUAGGCUUAAUUUCAUUUUAAGGAUGAUUAGGGAUGGAAUUUGGGUGAGGGAAUAUAACUAAAGUGCCCCUAGACCCUUUAGGAAUUGAAAUAACGCGUAAAACCACUUUAAAUUCGCGUCAGAUUCCGUGUCGGGGCACAGUCAACGCGACGUAUCAAGAUCGCUUUGGCUUACUGCCUCACAUGAAAAAUGCCAUAAAUUUUCUCUCGAUUAUCGGAUUUAGGAAAAUUGGUAUAGUUAGAAAGAAAAUUCAAUUAUCUAUAAUUUGGUGGGUCUUGAGCUGAAAAAUUCUAUGUGUAUCGAAAGUUGUACACGUUUAAAGUAGACCCCUGUAGAAUCGAAUAUCAAACUUUGGAUGAAUGAAUGACUCUUAGCUCAACUUUGCGCCAAGUGAUUUUUAUGAACACUUCUCACCUCAUAAUCAUUUCCUACACUAGGAGAGGGACCAUGGUACAUGAAUUUAAAUAUAAACCAUGGAAUUAGAGCUUACGCACGUAGGAACGACGGUUCGAUUUCUAGCUCAAAAAAGUGAGGUGUUACAUUAUUUCCCCCUUGGGAUCAUUCGUCCCCAAAUGAUGGGUAGUGACUUUUUGAAGCUCUAAAAGUGUAGAAUAAAUAACGAAACCUCGCAUCAAACAUGUUUCCUUAACAAAAUAUGUAAAGGCAUCAAAUGAGCUUCAUGAUAACCCCUAGCAAAAAGUGAAAGCACGAAACAUGAGAUAAUGAGACUUUACAUAGGGAAGAUCUUGCACAUGAGUUUUAUGAACCAUAAUCACCACAACAUGAGGCAUGAGUUAAUUUGGUGAUAACAGGACUGACUUACAUAGGUACUAAUAGGUCAUGACACUUUAACAUACACUACUACUAGGGUGAAAAUACAGUGCCAACAUUCUUUUACAUAUCAUUAUCCUUAAACAUGACAUACAUAAUAAGAAUUUAUUAAAGAAAACUUAAUACAGUCCUUACCUCAGGCUCGACCACACGACUGAUGUAGAUAGGGGUAUAUACUUAAAUAAACACACUUUAAAGCACUAUGGACUCCUCUCCAUUCCUUGUGCAAAUUCAUAAAUUUGUGAACAACUCAAUCAGAGAGAACCACAUCGGUAGGGUGCUAGACUCUUAGACUUGUAUCACCUCGACAAUGAGGCAUGGACCAAGAAAUUAGAGUAAUGAACGAAUUUGGAUAAAUUUCUUAUGGAAAACUUUAUAGCACAAACUAGAAUAUGAAAGAAUAAGAAACAACUUUUAAAUGCCUGGUAGCCUCCUGAUUAUAAGUGUGGUGCACAACACACCUAUAAGAAAGACUCUACUAAACACAAUUUUGUAAACGCAAUGGUACCAUGAAUCAUACUCUAAUACCAAGUUUGUCAUGACCCAAACCGGGGCCUUGGCCGUGAUGGGCAUCCCAAACCAUGAAGGCCUGAGCAACCUUCUCUAUCUGGUAAUCAUACACACUUUCAUAUAAUAUGUAGGAAAAUAUAGAAAUAUAAAACAAUAUAGAACCAUGGUCAAUAUCAUAAUUCAAUUGAACCAUAAACAGUUAACAACGUCUAACAUCAGUUUGUGAAAUAUCUAACAACUGAAAAUGACAUUUUUCUGAAAUCAAGGACAAGGCCACCAGUAGGACCAUGAAUCAAAAUAAAAUAACAAUAACAAGUUGUAAUAUAGGCUUUCUAAAGUAAGAAAGGCUCACCAAUGGCAAACUUCUAAUAAGUCAAUCUACUACUUAACGGGACCUCAGGAUUGUGUCUCAGGAUCAUGAAAUAUAGGGGGGUCAAUACAGAUGUACUGGUAUGAAAAACAAUUCAAAAACAAAAUAUGUAUUUUUAUAAAAACAUAAGUGAGAGCAUUUCAAAAAUCACAUGUCAUCUUAAAAUAGUUUGAAAUCAAUAUGCAUUUUUAUAAAAAUAUAGGGGAGAGAAUUUUAAAAAUCACAUGUUAUCUUGAAAUAGUUUGAAAUCGCAUGGGCAUAAUCUGAAACUUUAGAAACAAAUUCAGCAGUUCAUGACUCUACUCUUUAUCUUACUUCUGAAUCAGAUGGUACACCCUACAAUUCUGCUACCCCAUGGGCUAUAUGGGAUCCGCCCAUGAAUCGAUGGCCAAGCCCCCAAACUAAGUUUGCCACAAGGUUUGGAAUUUCUACUUAGUCUACUACGCCCCAGGCCCGCCUCCAGCGUACAAUUUUUCUUUUGGGUAUCAUAAACCUGUGUCGGUAAAUCACAGUUUUGGGCAAUGAGUCAUUUGACUCGUGCCUUCUUCGAGUAACCAUCUAACUCUUUUAAUGCCAGUUUUAGAUUCUUUAAACCAUAUCUUCUUUGAAAUAUCCUUUCUUUCUUAAUAUUUUUUAGGCAUAUCAAAAAUAGGGUAUCGUCAUACCCCGAAUUACAAGUCAUGUCACAAUAUAUCUACUGCCCUUAUCUCAUUUUAAAAGAGAUUUAUUGACCACCCAAAAGAUCUACCAUUUGAACAAAAGUUCAUAUUUCAAAACAGUUAAAAAUCAGCCAAUUCUCGAUACUUAUUCUACGGUGGUCAUCCUUUUUAAUUACUUUAAAACCAUUAUAAAUAAGUAUUAUGAUCAUUAUAUAAACAUUAAAAAUGCUCUUUCAUUACUUCAUGAAAACAACCAGUACAAUUCAUUUGUAAUAAUCCAUCAACAGACCUAAGCUUUCAAUAGUUUGUAAAUUCAAUUCACAAUAUGUAAAUCCAAUGAAAUUUUUAUUAAAAGAGUAAAUCACAAGUCUCAUUCUCUCAUUAACUUCUCAAUAUUGACAUCACAAAAUCACACGGAAGUAUUUCGAGUUGAAAACACUUUAUAGCAAUCUCCACAGUUUCCAACAAUAUGAGAUCCUUGACACAUAAGCAUCAACAAUCUCGAAACCAAAUUAGUUUAUAGGUAUAUACAUAUAUACUUUAAAUUAAUUUAAAAAUAGUAAAAUCCAUGCCCAUGAUGUUUAGGAUAGUCCCACGUACCUUAAUUGCGAAGAAUUACGAAGAAAUUUUAAAAAGAUUUGACCUUUCAGCUUGAUUGCCCAAACCCUAGUUAUUUUCUCCUCUUGUGUUCUUGAAAGAUGAAUUAGGGAUCUUAAAGGAUAGUAAAACAUUGCUAAUAGGCUUGAUUUCGUUUUAAGGAUGAUUAGGGACGGAUUUUGGGUGAGAGAAUAUGACUAAAGUUCCCCUAGACCCUUUAGGAAUUGAACUAAUGCGUAAAACUACUUUAAAUUCUCGUCAAAUUUCGUGUCGGGGCGCAGUCAACGUGACACAUCAAGAUUGCAUCAGCUUACUACCUCACAUGGAAAAUACCAAAACCUUUCACUCGGUUAUCAGAUUUAGGAAAAAUUAGUCACUGAGUUCCGCUAUGACUAGGUCCUUGGAAAUUUUGACCAGAUCCUUCUUGAUAUUCCUCUUCUAUAACUGGACUCUGCAGUUGAGAUCCUGACUCACCGCGGCUUUUUUAUCCUCAACUAUGUCAGUUUAUCCUUGACCUUCAGUUUUAGCUAUACCAUCCCUUUGAAUAGGAAUGAGUUCUUUCAUGUCAGAAUCUUUAUCUCCACCAGAAUCCCUUUACUUUCCUGACUCAUGAAAGACUACAUGUACACUUUCUUCCAUACACAGAUUUUCUGUAAAAAAAUUAUUUAUGCUUUGCUUGUUGAAGAGUAUCCUACAAAUGCUGCUUCCUCACUCUUAGAGUAAAAUUUCACAAGCUCAUUCUUUUCAUUAUUUAAAACAAAAUAUUUGCAUCCAAAGGGUCUGAAAUAGUCAAGCUUAGGUUUUUAACUGAACACAAGUUCAUAUGGAGUCUUCUUCAAGAGAGAUCUGAUUAGGCAUCUAUUAGUUACAUAAAAGGCAGUAUAGACAGAUUCAACCCAAAAGGUUUUUGGAAGGCCACUGUUAAUCAACAUAGUUCUGGCAACUUUUAUGAGAGUCUUGUUCUUUCUUUCAACCACUCUGUUUUGCUGAGGAACCCUAGGAGCAUAAAAAUUAUACUUGAUAAUAUUUUUAGCACAAAAUUCUGCAACUUGGGAGUUUUCAAACUCAAAUCCAUGAUCAUAUCUGAAUCUAGCAAUUUUACAAUUUAGCUUUAUCCAAAUUUGCAUGAAAAAGACCACCAGAAUAUCAUAGGUUUGAUCCUUAGUUCUUAAGAACAUUGUCCUAUUUAAUUUGGAAUAUUCAUCCACAAUAACAAACAGAUACCUCUUCCCACCUCAACUUUGGAGUUUAAUAGGUCCACAUAAAUCCAUGUGCAACAACUCAAGGAGUCUAGAGAUGUUGACCCAAUUCUUCUGCUUAAAAGAGGAUCUAUUUUGUUUUCCUUUGUCACAAGCAUCACAAACCUUAUUUUCUAAAAACUGCAGCUUUAGAACACCAUAGACCAGGUUCUUUGAGAUUAAUUUAUUCAGUAAACAGGAACUUAUAUGUCCCAGUAUUUUGUGACACAGAUUAGCAUUUUUACCUUGGACACUCAAGCAGGUCAAUUCACAAUCAACUACAGAGUCUAGAUCAAUCACAUACAUAUUAUUGCGCCUUUUACCUUUGAGAAUGACUUUCCCAGACUUCAAGUUUGACACAGUGCAUCCAUCAGAUAAGAACUUCAUGUUAUUUUCUUUGUCACAGAUUUGAGAUACAAUCAAAAAAUUGUACUUGAGACCAUUCACAUAGUACAUAUCUUCAAUUAUAUGAUUAAGAGACUUUCCAAUCUUCCUAACACUAUGAAUGUAACCCUUUUUUUUAUUUUUAAAUUAGAAACCUCCACUAUGAAGUUCCUUAAGUAACAGAAAAUAGUCAGUCCUUCCAUUCAUAUUCUUAGAGCAUUCACUAUCUAUGAACUAGUUUUGACUGUCUUCCCUUAUACCUACCUGCAUACAGAAUUUAUUUUUUAGAUUUGAACCCAUUUAAUUUUGAGUUCCCAAAAGGAAGAUAAAGAAGUUAUCAAAUCUUUUUUGGUCCAUCUUGACAGUUUUUUCUUCUUCAAGUUUCUCAAGGGGUUUGAUUCUUUGGGAUAAGAUUUCUCCUGCUGGAUGUAUCUUGCAUUGUUCAUUCUAACUCUAAGCCAUUCUUAACAAUCCUUCUUCAAGUGACCAUCCCUUCCACAAUGAGUACAUAGAGGAUUAUUGACUUUAUUUUUAGCAAACGGAACAUACUUUCCUUAAGACUGUAAAGCAUGAGUUUUAUACUGAUAUCCAAGGACUCUAUUAUUAUUGAUUCCUUGAAUAUUUAGAUUGGAAAGGAUUUGUGAAGAUGUGGUCCAUUUUAGGGUGCAGUCAUGAGAUGCCUUUGAGUAUCCUUUAAUUUUUCUUCAAGGUCAAUUUGAAGCAUUUAGGUUUCUUUCAUCCUUUUACCAUCGGACUCAUCUAUUUUUUUCAGUUGAUCUAUUAAACUCUGAUUUUCAAAUUUCAGUUUUGAGGACUGUUCUUCUAUCUUAGGCAACUGGAGAGUUAAGGCAAUUAAUUCAAGCUCUAGAUUUUCUACUUUGUCUUCAAGAAUAUUUUUCUCAACAGUCAGUUCACACAUAGAAUCAAUAAAACAUUUGCAAGCUUUUUUAUCUUCUUAGGAGAAUAAUUAUCUAAGUGUUUCUCUAUGUUAGAAAGAGUUACCUUAGUUUAUUCUUUAUUGUCUAACUUUUCUAUGAGAGCAAACAAAGAAUCAUAGGUGGUUUCACUGUUUUCCACUGCUAACAUAGAGAUAUCUUCAGGCUUUUCAGAAUUGUCAGAUUCACUAAAAGUAUUUCCCGGUAAAGUCUUUUUCACUGCAUAAUUAGCUACAACCUUCUUUCUUGACUUCUCUGGGACUUGAUCCUUCUUCUUUCCUUUGUUGGCAUUUGACUUUAGAUAUUCUUGAUAGUUGUAAACCUCACUUUUUCGAGAUAGAAAUUGAACCAUCGUUCAUGUGCGUAAGCUCUAAUUCCAUGGUUUAUAUUUAAAUUCAUAUGUCAUGCUAGUGUAUGAAGUGAUUAUGAGGUGAGAAAUGUUCAUAAAAUUUACUUGGAGCAAAGAUGAGCUAAGAGUCAUUCAUUUAUUCAAAGUUUGAUAUUCGAUUCUACAAAGGUCUACUUUGAACAUGUAUAACUUUUAAUACAUAUAGAAUUUUCAGCUCAAGACCAACCAAGAUGUAGAUAAUUGAAUUAGCUUUCCAACGAUACUCUCGAAUGUCGAAUUGGAAGAAUAAACCUUCUCCCCUCCCCCUUUGAAAAUUUAACAUCACCUUUGGAAUCAUGAAUUAAAAUAAGAGUUCAAGCGAAAAAAUUUAUGCUGACUGGAUCAAUGAUAUGGAGGAGGAGCUUCAGCAAUAUGAAAAGAGCAAAGUAUGGCACCUAGUCCCCAUACCUAUUGAUAGAACAAUUAUUGGAACAAAAUGGGUGUAUAGAAACAAGCAGGAUGAACAUGGUAGUAUCAAAAGAAAUAAGGCAAGACUUAUUAUUCAAGGUUAUAAUCAGGAGGAAGGAAUUUACUGUAGUGAGACAUUUUCUCCAAUUGCAAAGAUGGAAGCUAUUAGGAUUCUUAUUGCUAUUGUUGCUUAUAUGGAGUUUAAACUCUUCCAAAUGGAUGUCAAAAGUGCCUUUUGGAAUGGAUAUUUGAAGGAAGAGGUUUAUGUCAAAAAAUCUCUGGAUUUUGAAGAUGCAGACUUCCCACAUUAUGUUCUCAAAGUCGAUCAAGCUCUCUAUGGAUUGAAGCAAACACCCAAAGACUACUAUAAGAGUCUUUUAAUGUUUUUUUUAUAGAAAAUGGCUUUAAGAGAGGGAAAGUUGAAAAUACUCUUUUUUUGAAGUCCAGAGGUAGCAACUUGCUGAUUGUACAGAUUUAUGUUGAUAACAUAAUUUUUGGGGUUAUUUCUGAUUCUUUAUGUGAAGAUUUUGCAAAAUUAAUGGAGAGUGGAUUUGAAAUAAGCAUGAUGGGUGAAUUAAGCUUCUUCUAGGCCUACAGAUUAAACAAACCUCUCAAGGAACUAUGAUUUGUCAAGAAAAAUACAUCAAGAAGCCUCUGAAGAAAUAUAAUUUGGAGAUGACAAGCCAAUUGAAAGUCCAAUUAGAACCAAUUCAAAGAUGGAUAAUGAUGUACUUGGUCUCUCAGUAAAUGAGACUAUGUUUAGAGAGAUUAUUAGAUCCUUAUUAUACAUCACUGCAAGAAGACCAUAUAUUGUAUUUAGUGUGAAAAUGUGUGCCAAAUUUUAGGCUUGUCCAAAUAAUUCUCAUUUGAAAGCUGCAAAGAGGAUUUUAAGGUGUCAGAAAGGGAUAAGGGAUUUCGUCCUUUCUAUCCAUCUGAAGACAAUUUCAAUCUAAUAGGUUAUGUUGAUGUUGAUUAUGCUAGAUAAUUGGUGGAUAGAAAAAGCAUCUCAGGAAUGGUUCAUUUUCUUGGUUCUUCUCUAAUUUGUUAGGGUUCUUAGAAAAAAAAUCGAUUGCACUAUCUAUUGUUGAAGCUGAAUAUGUGGUUGCAGCUUCUUGUUGUGCUCAAUUGUUAUGGAUCAAACAAUAACUAAAAUAUUUUGGGUUUAUUUUUGACACUAUCCCUCUGAUGUGUGACAAUACAAGUGCUCUAAACAUGGAAAGACAUCCAGUGCAGCAUAAAAGGACAAAGCAUAUCAAUGUAAGGCAUCAUUUUUUGAGAGAAAAUGUUGAAAAGAGGGUCAUUUGCAUGAAAUUCUAUAAGACUAAAGAUCAGGUAACUGAUAUCUGUACAAAGGCUCUUCACAAAAUCAAUUUGUUAAGAACAGGUUGAGGUUGGGGUUGAUCAAAUAAAUUAACCUACAUAAUGGAUUAGUUUUUCCACUAUCCAUUGGCUAUAGAAUCUAUAUUUAAUGGUCUAAUUCAAUGUAAUGCCAUGAAAUCUAGUUCUCAAUAUGCCACACAGUGCUACGAACUAGAAAUAGUCCUGAGCUAACCCUGGCUGCCUUCUAAUACAUCUGAAUCUCAACAUGGGGGAAAUAUAAGUAUAAAAUCAUGAUAAAAUAUGGAAAACUAUCUGAAUAAUCUGAAUAUAUCUAAAAUUACUAAUCUCAUUAAUCUGAUUAAACAAAUACUAAAAAGUAUGAAUACGACAACUGAGAUCUAAGACUGAAUCUGGUAGACCAACAAGCCUCUACUAACUGAAUGUAGAGAGUCUCUGGGAUAGGCCCAGCUGACUCGAACUAAACUGAAAUAUCUAUUACUAAACUAAGAACAUGAAUAGCUAAGUCCCCAAACUAUCAGGACUCACCAACUGUAGGGAUGUAGAUGAGAUGCUCGGGAAUCACUGUUGCUACUAAGAUUGAGCACCUAAACCUAUAUUAUCAGACAAUAUAGAACAUAGAAGUAUAUGUGGAUCAGUACUUUCAGGAUGUACUGAGUAUUGGGGGUGUAUGCAAUAAGUAAACAAUAUCAUCACAUCUUAUGAAAUCAUGAAUGCUAAAUAUAAAUGACUCGCACAGCUUGAGUAAAUCUGAAAUCUAAAAAUUAUAAAUCAUGAAUAGUAAAGCAAGUACUAUGUGUCUUGUGAGUCAUUACACUUAGUUCUAAAAUCUAUAUUAUGUUCUUGUUCUCAAAUCAUAUUGGCUAAAAGAAGUCUAAAACUUAUUAUGCAUAGUAAACACUUUAUUUCAAGACUUUAAAUAAUUAAAAUUGUUUUAAUAGUGGGGGACAUCUAUUUGGGAGGUUCUUCUAACCGACAUACACCAUGUGAGCAUCCAUGUAGUCCCACAACUAGCUCCCGUAAGGUUAGGGUUGUUCUACACUUGCCAUCGGAAUAGAACAAUCUCAUCUCAGUGAUCACAAUCUCAGUAUCCACGUAAAAGUGGAAAUAAUCUAAAUCCUACUUUGGCACGUAGUUCUGGGGUAUGAAACCAUAGUAACGUACCCAUCUCGGUACUAAAUACUACUCAUAAUCCCAUGCUCAAGAUCUCCAGAAAAUCAACUUUAAAAGUAAUCUAAUGGUUUAUAAUGAAAACCAUCUGUAAAUUUGUAAAGUCUAUUUCAACUCUAUUCUGAAACCAAAAGGUCAAAUCUUUCUCAGUAAUCUGAAAAUAUUCUAAUCAUGGGGUGCUUAUAGCACAAUAAUUCUUUGAAUAACAAUCUUUAAAUAGGGUUUAAUGGCCCAUGUAUUAAUCUCAUGAUAAAACAUCCCAAAAUUCAUGCUUGAUAGCAUAAACAUUCAAAAACCAUCUUAAAAUCUAAAAAUUUCAGCAAUGUGCAUAAAAACAUAAACAUAAUCAUGUAAUUCAAUUUAUAAAUCAUUGAAAAUCUCAUAAUCUCAUGAAUAUCAAUAUGGGGUGUAAACCCAAACUUCAAAUUCAAAGGAAAAUAUAUAAAAAUCAAAUAACUUUCACAAUAAAAUCAAGUUUUGGGCAUAAGGACGAAAGGAUUGUCCUUGUUCAUAACCCUACAUACCUUGGAUGAUGAACUAGAUGAACAAGUUUGCUUUUGAGACUCUAUUUGGGUUCUUGAAGGAGUAUUAUUGAAGCUAUUGACUUGGAAACCUUUAAUCUUAAAGCAAUUUAGAAAAACAAUGGUGGAAUCUUGGAAUUCUUGGGGUUGAGUUUUGAAGCUUAAAGUUUUUAAUUUGAGAGAAAUUGAUGAAAAUAAUCCUAAUGUUGUUAGAAUAGGCUUUGAUCUUAUGUUUGGGAAGAAUAAGAGUGGGGAAAAUUGACUUAAUUACCCCUUUGAACAUGGAUCUUUAAUGACUGAAAUAAAAAUAUGCCCAGCGACGCAUAGGCCGAUACGUCGCGUCGAUGGUACCAACGCGUUGUCAACAUGAUGGAUGAUCCGACAUGUCAAAUUUAUGUCAACUCACUAUUUUCAACAUCCAAACAAGUUUCUAAAGAGGUCAAAAAAAUCCAAAACUCAUUCGAGAACACCCAUUGACCUCCCUGAUCAUGAUUAAACUCAAAAAUUGGCAUUUUAACGUCUCAAGGGUUGAACAUAAAACCAUUGAAAUCUCAAGGCCAAAAAUGUGACUAAGUGCUCACACUUAGCUAGAAUUUUCUAAGUCUGAGAUUUGUUUUAGCAUACAAUAAAAGACUAAAAUAACAAGGAUUUGUGGGGUCUUACAAUAUCUCCCCAUUGAAAACAUUCUUCCUCGAAUGUUGCUAGUUAGACUAAGAAUACUGAAGAAUCUGAAGAUAUAUAAUUGCACGCAUAACUUAAAUGAAUUUCAAAACUAAAUUUAAAUUAUUCUGAGCUUCUGAGUUAACCUGUGAGUGCAUGAAUUUAUAAUAAGGACGGCUAUCUAGCUGAAUCUGUGGUCAGAAAGGAACGGAAUUAGGAAAGAGUAUUACUUUCGGCUACAUAUAAAUUUGCGAAGAAGAGGUAAGGGUACUUGGCUCGCAUAUCUGUUUCUACUUCCCAAGUGUCACCCUCAAUAGACAGGUUCCGCCAAAGGACUCUGAUCAAGAGAACUUCUUUGUUCCUUAGUCUACAGAUCUGGUGAUCUAAAAUAUCAAUUGGAACCUCUUCAUAAGAAAGGUUGUUCUCAAUUUCUGAGCUUUCUAAAGGAAUUACAAUGGUGGAGUCAUUAAUGCACUUCUUAAGCAUAGAGACAUGGAAUACAAGAUGAACGACUGACAAGUCUGUGGGAAACUCAAGCUCAUAAGCUACUUUCCCAAUAUGACUCAAAAUGCUGAAAGGGCCAACAUACCAGGGACAGAGCUUCCCCUUCUUGCCAAAUCUCUUUACCCCUUUCAUGGGUGAAAUCUUCAUAUACACUAAAUCACCAACUUUAAACUCAAGAUCUCUCUUUCUCACAUUUGUAUAUGAUUUAUGACAACUCUGGGCUAUUUUCAAUCUUUCUCUAAUCAACUUGACUUUCUCCUUAGGUUCAAACACUGCAUUAGAUCCAAGUAAAGUGGCCUCACCCACUUCAAACCAACCUAUGGGUGACCUACAUCUCCUCCCAUAGAAAGCCUCAAACGGGGCCAUCUGAAUGCUAGAAUUGUAAUAGUUAUUAUAAGCAAACUCAAUCAAUGGCAAAUGCUUAUCCGAACUACCUUUGAAAUCAAGAUUACAUGCCCUCAACAUAUCGUUUAGAGUUUAGAUGGUCCUCUCUGCUUGACCAUCUGUCUGAGGGUGGAAAGCUGAACUAAGGUGGACUUAGGUACCAAGACCUUUCUGAAAAGCUCUCCAAAACUGGGAAGUGAACUGAGUACCCCUAUCUGAUAUGAUAGACAAGGGAACUCCAUGCAAUCUUACUAACUCUUGGAUAUACAGUUUAGCAUAGUCUUUAUCCGUAUAAGACGUGUGAACUGGCAGAAAAUGUGCUGACUAAGUCAAUCUAUCUACAAUAACCCAAAUCUAAUCAUAAUGACGACGUGAUUGGGGUAAACCAGUCACAAAAUUCAUAUUCACCUCUUCCCACUUUCAAGUUGGGAUACCAAACUCUUGCAACGUACUGCCAGGUCUUUGGUUCUCUACCUUAACCUAAUGACAAGUUGCACACUUUCCUACAAACUCUGCUAUAUCUUUCUUCAUACCACUCCAACCAUGGAUUUCCCGUAAAUUACGGUACAUCUUCGUAGCACCGAGAUGAAUAGAAUAACGUGCGCCAUGCACUUCAGCCAUAAUUCUCUAUCUCAAAUCAUCUAUACCAGGCACACACAAUCUACCCUAGUAUCUCAACAUGCCAUCUCCCCCUUGGAAGAAAACCUCUACCUUUUGGUCUUUAACCGACUCCUUCAGUUUGACCAAACUAACAUCCAUGUCUUGUUUCUCCUUCACUUCUAAAACUAUGGAAGAUUCAGAACUAUUCUAAACCCAAACAACCCCUUCAGCUGAAUCAACCAAUCUAACACCCAAUCUAUCCAGACAAUGAACAUCUCAAGCUAACUCUUUCUUACCAUUAUCCACAUGAGCAAUACUUCCCAUAGACAAACUUUAGAGGCAUCAUAAUACACCACAAAGCCAUCGGUACCAUCAGGUAAUGCUAACAUUGGGGUUGAAGUGAGUCGAGUCUUCAACUCUUGAAAGUUUUUCUCACUGGAAUCUGACCAUAGGAACUUAAAUUUCUUUUGGGUUGAUCUAGACAUAGGAGAUUCAAUAGACGAGAACCUUCAACAAAAUAGUGGUAAUAGCUAGUUAGACCCAAGAAACUCUUAAUAUCUGAUGGAGAGAUAGGUCUAGGAUAAUUUUUUAUGGCUUCUAUCUUUUAGGGAUCCACUCUAAUGCCAUCGACGAAAAUAAUAUGACCGAUAGAGGCUACUGACCUUAGCCAAAAUUCACACUUGCUGAAUUUGGAAAACAAUUAAUGAUCUCUAAGAUUUUGCACUCACUAAGGGAGUAUAUGAGGAUAUCAUCUAUGAAAACUAGGACAAAAAUAUCUAGAUACUGCUUGAACACUUGAUUUAUGAGAUCCAUGAAAGUUGUUGGAGCAUUGGUUAGCCCGAAAGACAUGAAUAGAAACUCAAAGUGACCAUAGCAGGCUCUAAAGGCAGUCUUCAGAAUAUCACAUUCCCUAACUUUAAGAUGAUGAUAGCCGAAUCUAAGGUCUAUCUUUGAGAAAUAACUUGCACCUUGAAAUUGAUCAAACAGGUCAUCAAUUCUAGGAAAAGGAUAUUUGUUCUUGAUUGUGACCUUAUUUAGAUGACAACAGUCAAUGCACAUGCUUAAAGAACCAUUUUUCUUUCACCCAAAGAGGAUGGCAGCACCCCAUAGAGAAAUACAAGGCCUGAUGAAACCUUUAUCUAAAAGAUAUUUGAGUUGCUCCUUCAACUCAUUAAGCUCGAUGGGCGCCAUACAAUAUGGAGGAAUAAAAAUAGGCUGAGUAUCUGGGAAAAGGUCAAUACCAAAUUCUAUCUCUCUAUCGAGAGGUACCCCUGGGAGAUCUUCUGGAAAGAUAUUUGGAAACUCAUUUACUACAUUCACUGACUGAACUGUUAGGGUCUCAGACUUAGUGUCUUUAACUCAAACUAGAUGAUAAAUGAAACCUUUAGAAAUCAACUUUCUGUCCUUAAGAUAAGAUAUGAAAUGAAUCUUGGAAGACACUGAACUACAGAACCACUCAAAGAUUGGCUCAUCUGGAAACUGAAACUUCACCACUUGGGUGCAGCAAUCUAUAGAAGCAUAAUAGGAAUGGAUCCAAUUCAUACUAAGAAUAAGAUCAAAAUCAACCAUAUCUAACUCUAUCAAGUCUUCUAACAUGAAUUUAUGAAGGACAGUGAUAGGACACUUCUUAUAGAUUUGUUUAGUAAUAACUAACUCACCUACUGGGGAGGAAACCAAGAAAGGAUCAAGGAUCUUUUUAGAACUUACCUCAAAAUUCAUAGCAACUAACGGGGUCACAUAAGAGAAAAUCAACCUAUUGUAUAACAAUACAUAAAUAUCAAGAUGAAAGAUACAAAGCAUACCAGUAACAAUAUUAGGUGAAUUUUCCUGCUCCUGGCAUGAGGGUAAAAUAAAAAAUCAAUUCUGGUGCUGACUACCAGCGGUACUAGAUGAUGCACCCUGAGGAGGAAAUGGGAGACCUAAAGGAGCUGGUGCACUAUUAGCCUGAGUCUAGGGACAAACAUCUCUAUUUCCCUGUCUAGCAUACAGGCAAUCUCUAAUACCGUAACCCUCCUGUCCAUAACCAAACAACCUUUUUGACCCCAUAAAUAUUUACCUCUAUGAUUCUUACCAUAUUAGCACAUAGGGGAUAAUUAGGCUUCCCAUUCACACUAUCUUUACAUCUAGACAUAGAAGACUUACCCCAUUAUUCCUGCCUGAUCCGAGGUACAGGAGAACUGGAUGAAGAAGGUACAGGCAUAGAUAACUGAUUCUAAAGCUGCAAAUGGUUUCCUUCUCUCAACCUAUUCUGACUAUAAUCAAACUGCAUUAUUCUAGCCCUCUUAGUUACUAGCACUUUUUUAUUUUUUUUCUCUGCCUCAAUAUACUGAGCAUGCAUCAUCAAUCUAAAAAGGUCUAUGUCUCUAUUAAGAAUAGUAGUCCUACAUUCCUUAACUACCAAUCCAGAAACACCGAUCACAAACUUACUCAUGCAUGAUCUAGGGUCAGCCAUCUGAUCAGGGGCAUACUGUAACACCCUAAUUUUUUUGAAUAGUAAUGCUACACGGUGCUUAUGACCCCGAAGGACCAUAAGCUAACCCAUGAGUAAUAUCUGUACCUGUACACUAUAAUAUAUAUCAUAAUAAUGUAGAAAAUAUAAACAUGUAGACCAUAAGGUUUAAUUGAAUAAAGAAUCUAGUAAAAUAACAUCUAUAAGGGUGAAAGAUACCUAAAACAAAUGAAAACUGAAUCAAAUCUAAACUAAAUAUCAAAGCCUCUAAACACUGUCUAAAUAAGGACUUGAAGGAACAUGACUCCAACUAACUCUGUAAACUGAAAACCAACUGAAAUAAUAAAUGAAUCAAAUCAUAUCAUCCUCGAAUGAAGAGGACUCACUACAGCUCUGUAUACUGGAAUGCAAAUGCUACUGCUGUUCUGGAACUUGUGUCUUUGAACCUAUGGUGUAACAUGAAAAGAAAGCACCAUAGUGCAAAUACGUCAGUACAACUGGAGUACUAAGUAUACAAGUGAGGUAGGCUAAAUGAAAUGGGUUUACAUGCAUGAGCAAUGCUAACUGACCGACUAAUAUGAAUGUGAGAGUGCAAACAUACAUACAUAAUAGUGGAUCUGUACGCUAAUACAUAAUUUAAUGAUUUUUGACAUGACUGGAACUAUAGUUCUGUCAACAUGGGUGACUAUGUAUGAUAGUCUUGGGUCUGAUGGAACUAUAUGAGUUCCAUACUAUAAUUGAAUUUGACUGUAUCUGGCAGUCCUGGUAUACUGAUAUCGGAAGAACUAUCUGAGUUCUUUUACUAAUACUGAGCCUAAAAUUGUGGGAGGUAGUUGUUUAACCGACAUGCCCCAAUAAUGUAUAUAGAUAAGUUGGGGUCUAAUCUCUGCCCCAACUGGAGAGGUGUCAAUACCGUACCACUGGUAAGAAUAGUUGUGAGUGACCCUCAACUGGCAGGUACUCAAAUGAGAAUGGUGGGAAACCUAAAAUAACAGGUUAAGCCACCUCAUCAAUCCUAGUCUGAUAGGUUAAGAUGUCUCAACCUACGCUAGCUACAUAGUUCUGGAACAUAAGGAUGACUACUAAGAAUCACACCCUAAACUAGUAGGUGAGUUCCCAUCCAUGGGUUUGCUCGAUUCUAACUUCUACUCCCAUCUGAAGAGACUGAACAUAAUUUAACUGACUGUACAUGGACUGAGUAACUGACUUUCGUUGACUAAUAGAGUAGCACCACAAUCUGAGAUUUUGUUGAUAUCAUGAGAUUUCAGAGGUUUCCUGAGUCACAUGACUGACUGAAUUCUAUAGAUCAUGGAUUGACUGACAUUAUCAGGGUAACGUGACUUGGAUCUAGGCACACAACUAUAUUUUUUGGGUACGAAUACCCCUAGUACUCAAUGGAAGAAAACUGACACAUAUGACAUGACUUGAUCACAACAUUUGAGUCCAUAAUUCAUAAUAUCGUACAUAAGGGAUUUCAUACUAAGCAUGGUUAUCAACAAUGUAUUGCAUGAAAAGGAUUUCAUGUCACAUGGAAGUGCUUUCACAAACUUAAUAUCAUGUUCAUUGCAUAAUCAUACUAGCAACACAUAUCAAUAGCACGGAAGUUCAUGUGGAAUCAUCUUAAGAGUUGACAUAGCUUGUCAUUUAAAUACUAUGAGGUCAUGGGAACAUGAUUUUUAGCAUUCUAGGCAUUUUAACAAACACCUUGCAUGCACACUUUGGGGCAUAGGUUUUCUCAACAAUUUUAAUCAUCUUAAACCACCAAAAUUCAUGGGUUUUAACUACAAGCAUGCAUACAUCAUGGAAGUCAACUUAAAUUAAUAUCUUGAAGCUUAAAUAAUGAUCAUUAACAUGAACAACAUCGCAUAACAACAAGGAAAUCAAAUUUUCUCAUUUAAAAGCAUGGUUCUUGAACUCUAUGAACAAAAGGGGUCCAUAGAUGAACACUACGCAUACCUAACUCAGGGUUCUUGACGUUUUGAACUUAAAAGGUUUGAAAUCUUUUGAUUCUUGAAGAGGAUUGGAUAUUGUUCUUGGAGAUUGAAUUUAGAGAGAAACCCUAGUUUUUGUUUAUGAAAUAAUAAUGAGAAAAAUGGCUGAAUUUAGACUCAUCUGGGUAUAUAUAUACGAGUGGUAAGUGACCAAAAUACCCCUGUUAAAAUGACCUAGAAAUAAACUGAACGUGGCAUGUGACGGUCCAACAAAUAGUCCAUCAAACACUUGACAGUCCGUCACUUAGCCCGUCAGACAUGGAUCAUAAAUGGGGUUCACUAGAUAAAGAGUCGACGGCCUGGAUGAUGGUCCAUCACAACUUUGAUGGUCUGUCAACUCGUCCGUCAGUCCUUAUCCAGUAUGUGGCUCAACUACCUUGGCUAUGACGGUCAAAGUGGCGGUCCUUCACUUAUGUGGCGGUCCGUCAACUUGGCCGUCAUACCUGGACGUUUCCGACAGUUCCAUGUAAAACGUCCAUAACUCCCUCGUCUGAUGUCGGAUUUGGACAAAAUUUGUACCGUUGGAAAGCUAGCUCAAUUCCCCACAUGAGACAAAGUGAAAAUCUCAAAAAAUACCACGUGUAAAAAAUAUUUCUGCAUUUUAAAGUAAGUCCUAGCAUCCUUGAGAUGAUUUCUAGCUAGGAAAAAAGCACGGGUAUUAUAAUAUCUCCCCUUUGAGAACAUUCAUCCUCAAAUGAAACUAACUGAGAGGGGAAACAAUAAUCUAAACAUGAGUAGCUGGAACAUAAUCUUAUAAUUGACAAACUGAACGCAUUAUACUGAACAUGUAUAUCUGAUGCACAUGUAACUGAUUCAUGAAUGCAUGACUGAUGUUCUCACAAUGAAAAUACAUAUCUGAUGCAUAAUUAUUUACUGGACUGAUACAUGUAUGCAUGACUAUAUAUGAAAUGGUACUUGAUACCAAAUUUGUGAUGGAACAUGAACACGAAAUGAAAUAUAAAGUUGUAUUGAAUGCUGAAUGUGAAACUGAAUAAGCUUAAGGAGGACUACUACCUUGAGCUCGAUCUGGGUUGGCGGAGAAUUGAUUUUGCCAAAGAACUUUGACUAGGGGGACUUCUUUUUUCCUCAGCCGAUGAAUUUGAUAGUCUAAAAUUUCGACUGGAAUCUCUUCAUAAGAGAGGUUGUCCUGAACAUCAAUGUUCUGAAUAGGGGCUACAACUGCUGGGUCACCUAUGUACUUCUUGAGCAAAGAGACAUAGAAGAUCGGAUGAACUGAGGCUAGAUCUGAAGGCAAUUCGAGCUCAUAAGCUACCUUGUCGAAAUGACUGAGAAUCCUGAAGGGACCGACAUAGCAGGGACUAAGUUUCCUUUUCUUGCCGAACCUCUUCACUCCCUUCAUGGGAGAUAUUUUUAGAUAGACAUAGUCAUUGACCUCAAACUUGAGAUCCUUUCUACAAACAUCUGCAUAAGACUUCUAUUGGCUCUAAGCAGCACAAAGUCUCUCUCUGAUCAACUGAACUUUCUCUGAGGUGUUGAAUACCAAGUCAGGAUCGAUGACUGAGGCCUCACUAACUUUGAACCAACCGACUGGAGAUCUACACCUCAUACCAUAGACUGAUUCGAAUAGAGCCAUUUGAAUACUGAAAUAAUAGCUAUUGUUGUAUGCAAACUCAAUCAAGGGUAAGUGGUCAUCCCAACUUCCCUUGAAAUCAAUUGCACACGCCCUUAGAAUAUCUUCAAGAGUCUGAAUGGUCCUCUCUGCUUGGCCAUCUAUCUGAGGAUAAAAUGCUGUACUAAGAUGGACUUGGGUACCAAGACCCUUUUGGAAUGCUUUCUAAAAGUGAGAGCUAAACUGUGUACCUCUGUCUGAGAUGAUAGAUAAUAAAACACGGUGUAAUCUGACCAACUCCCUAAUAUAGAAUUUGGCAUAAUCCUCGAAUAAAUAAGACGUACGAACUAGAAGAAAAUGAGCUGACUUGGUCAUUUACAAUAACCCAAACUGAAUCAUGCUGAUGAUGAGUUUGAGGCAAACCCAUCACGAAAUCCAUAUUCACUUCUUCCAACUUCCAAGUAGGAAUGGUGAAAUCCUGUAUGGACCCACUAAGUUUAUGAUGCUCUAUCUUAACCUGCUGAUAUGUAGAGCACUUAGCCACAAACUCUACAACAUCUAUUUUCAUCCUACUCCACUAAUAGAUCUCCCGCAAGUCACGGUACAUCUUAGUGGCCCCUUCAUGAAUAGAGUAUCGCACACCAUGCGCCUCUACAAGAAUUUGUUGUAUCAAGUCAUCUACACUUGGAACACACAGACGACCCUGACAACGAAGAACACCAUCUCCCCCUUGGGAGAAAGCCUCUACUUUCUGAUUUUGAACUGACUCUUUUAACUUGACAACGAUGGGAUCCCUUUCUUGCUUUUCUUUCAACUUGGAAUCUAGAGAUGACUCUAAACUACUCUGAACAUAUAUACCACCCUCUGAAGAGUCAACUAAGCGAACGCCUAGUCUGGCAAGUUGAUGGAUUUCCAGGGCUAUUUUUUUCUUGCUAUCCUCAAUGUGAGUAACACUACCCAUAGAGAGUCUACUAAGAGUAUCGACCACAAUGUUGGCCUUGCUUGGAUGAUAAAGAACACUCAUGUCAUAAUCUUUCAAAAGAUCUAACCAUCUUCUCUGAUGAAGAUUAAGAUCUUUCUGAAAAAAGACAUACUGGAGACUCUUAUGAUCUGUGAAGAAAUCUACAUGAACUCCAUAUAGAUAAUGUCUUCAAAUCUUUAAGGCAAAUACUAUGGCUGCUAACUCAAGAUCAAAAGUAGGAUAAUUCUUCUCACGGAGCUUUAGCUGUCCGAAGAUGUAGGCUAUGACCUUACCAUGCUGCAUUAGGACACAAACUAAACCCACUCUAGACGCAUCAUAAUAGACUACCAAACUAUCUGAACUAUCUGGAAGAUUUAGAACAGGAGCUGAGGUGAGUCGAGUCUUUAACUCUUGAAAACUCUUCUCGUAAGAAUCUGACCACUGAAACUUAACCUUUUUCUAAGUCAAUCUGGACAUAGGAGAUGCAAUAGAAGAAAAUCCCUUGACAAAGUAUUUGUAAUAGCCAUCCAAACCCAGGAAACUCUUGAUAUUUGAUGGAGAGACCGGGCGAGGAUAGUUUCUUACCGCUUUGGUUUUUUGAGGAUCUACUAUAAUGCCAUCACCAAAAAUAAUAUGGCCAAGGAAUACUACUGAUCUUAGCCAAAAUUCGCACUUACUAAACUUGGGAAACAACUGAUGAUCUCUAAGAGUCUAAAGAACAACUCUAAGAUGGUCUGAAU